rnacentral:lncRNA from 1 species
AUCAAUUCAUGCAAAAUUAAUUAGGGCUUUGGUGGGGGCCCGACAUUUAUGAUAUUCUCUUCAAUAUUGUUUGCUUGAUAUGUUGAUUUUUUAUUCUCCUUGAUGACAUACAUGAAUUCAUUUUAUAUUUAUUGUUGAGAUACCCUUGUUCCCAUAGACACGUGGAUGCUCGCUAAUCAGGUACGCUCUUUCUACCCUUCAACUCUAAAAUUCUAUGAAUAUGUAUGUUAUCAUGAACCAUGACCAUGUUUGAUGCCAUAAUUGAUUGUCUUGAUUCUUGUUUGAUCAUCUUUGAUAAAAUACAUAUAAUGUGUCACAUUUACAAACUAAUCUCUUAUGUUUCAUGAUAGCGCUUGAGAAGCCGUUCAGGUACGCACUUCGACCCUCUCUUAUGGUUGGUUUUCUUGUUAGGCAUGCAAUAUUUGAAAUCACUUGGCCUACUUAGAUACCUACAAUUAACUGAUUAAUGGCCACACUUCCCUUAACUUUGCUAGUAGAGACCUUUAUAGGGCUUAGAGGGGUGCUACCUUUUAAAGGUACCUUCCCAAUAGGUAACCUGAUCCCCGGACUUAGACUCGGGUUUUUCAAAGACAUGCUUUUUCCAAAAAUUAUGGAGUCACAUUUUAGGGUUUUUCUUUCUUGUUUUAUUUUCCCUUUAAAAUAAAAAUAAAAUAAGUGGCGACUCCAACUUUUUUCCAAAAAUUAAUUUUUUCACAAAUAAAAAGCGAGUCUCGCCGAUCGAGUGGGGGCGCACGUGAAAAAUACGGGUCCACAAAUUGGCGACUCCACUAGGGAUUUUUGAGGAUCAAGCUUGAACACUAGUUGAGGAAAAUGUGGCGUUUAAUUGGUCGAUUAGUGGGUACCUCUUUUUUUUAGGCAAGGUGAUUCGAUUUGCUUGCUUGUUUGGUUUGCUAUCUUAACAUGUUUGAUUGCCUUGGAUGAUCACUUGAUUGUUUUGCUCACUUUAGCAUGAUUCACUUUCACAUAUGUUAGAUAGGACUUUGUUUGUUUGAUAUUUAUUUGCUUCGCAUGACUGUUUGAUGUGAUCACUUAACUGUUUGUUCACUUUAGCAUGAUUCACUCUCACAUAUGCUAGAUAGGACUUUGAUUGUUUAAUAUUUAUCUGCUUCGCAUGACUGCUUGUUGCAUGACAACCUUUUCUCUUGCAUGUUCGUAUGAUCGCUUGUCUUUGUUCACUCUCUCACUUUAGAUCUUAGGUUUUUCGGAUGCACCCACAUCCUUCAUUGUGCACUUUAGAUUAUUCCUGAGUGUUGAGAGAUGGGAGAGCCUUCACCCUUAAGAAACCCCCUGGGAACGCGAGGAAGUGCAUGUGUGGAGGUGAUGACCACCUUGCAUGGAAGCACCCUGUCUCCUUGGAGGCGUGCAGAGGGUUGCGUACCGUCGGAGGGUACGAUCGCUUCUGCUAGGGAUCCUUUGACCCACCCAUUUUACCUUAUAGAGCCACCUUAACCUUGUAGGUUAGCCUAGACUCAAUUAAGAUUUCAUUCCUACACGUGGAUGCAUCUGUGGACGUUCAAAGCUGCCUUGGUCACAAUUGGGUUCAGUUAUCCUCUUCAUGGUCUCCUUUUGGUGUGCUCAGAGAUUGGUACAUGUUUGAGUCUCAGUUGGGCCACCUUUCUACAUUGUGAUUAGUGUGUUUCCACCUCUUCUGAGCUUCCUUCAUGUCAUUUCUCUUUCCGUGUCUUUGUACCUUAUAGGAAUGUUAUUCGCUUCAGUUUGGAUUCGACUCUUUAUAUUAGAGUUGGAGAUAGAUUGGUCAAGGUUUCAAAGCAAUCAGGUAUGGAUCCUCAGCAUGAUACAGUUGAUUGACUUACAGUCACCAUGACUCUAUUCAAGAGACAUUACCAGGUUUGAGCCAGAGAUGGACAGUGAGAUAGAUAGCAUCCAGUUCAGGAUGAGAUGUCGUAUGAUUCAUUACCACCCACCCCCACCACCCAGUUAGCCAGUGACAUUGUUGAGGGUGACUUCGUACGUAUGAUGAGUUUAGUGGAUUAUGAGUCAAAGUUUAUCAGAUGAGAGUUCUUAUAGAGGAUGUUAGUUUUUCUCAGAUGGGAGAUUUGAUUGAAAUGACUUUCUUCAUGACGAGCAUGAGAUGGACGUAUUGGAUGAUAGUUGGAUGCUUGACACAUAUUAGCCAGAGAUAGUUCACUCUCUUGAUAUGCUUGAGAUCUUCAUUGUUGAGAGUUCAUAAGAGAUUCAGUUUAUUUAUGUUGGGGCAUCCCGCUUAUGUUGAUGAUAUGUUUGAGGACGAUAUUAGCCCGGUUAUGGUCAUGGAGAUUCAUCUAUUCCAGGAGACCCUAUGGACUUACUUGGAGUAUACCACUUGUCAUUAGAGAGUUGACCCUAGAGAGGAAAUAUGAUUGACAUAUCUGGAUAGAGAUCAGUUCUCAAACCUCACCAAUGUGGAUUAGUUGAAGAAGUAUUACAUUUGAGACCAUGGUCGCAGGAUGGGUGGCCAUCAUUUCGGUUAGCCUUACACCUUAUCACCUUUAUUGAUAUAUUAAAAACCAUUGCUAGCCCAUUGAGCCUCACGUGGUAUGUUAUAGCCUUAUUUCUUUCUUAUAGCCUUGAUUACCAUUUCUACACCCGGGUUGGGACCCUUUGGUGUAUAUGCAUGCUUUGCUAAGAAAGUCUCAUGAGCUUUAAACUUAUAGGCCUAUCUUCUCAUUCUUGUCAUCAUCUCCUUAUCACCCCGUUUGUUCUAUUUUGCUAUCAUCACAUUUCCAUUCUCUUUCUUGCUUUUAUCAUUAUUUGCUUCAUUUUAUCUCUUCUCUUCCUUGGGCUGAUGAUUCUUCACAUCUUAGUGCAAAGAGGGCAGUCAUAUCACUCCAUUCAUCCCAUCAUUUGGCAUUAAUUCGAAGAUUUUAGUUUGAGAGGUUGUCUCAUGGGUUGGGGUUCAUGUAUUCAUUAGUGAUUUGAGAGAGUUUAUUCAUUUCUUGUAUCUUUCCCAUUGGAGUUUGACUUAUUGAUGAUCAGAGCAUGCGCUAAAAAAAAAAGAAAAAAAAAAACGCAAUGAUAUGCUCAUGUAUGGUAUCUCGUUCCAUUGGGAAUUUAUGCCACCUUUUGAGGUUCAUUUAUUGGUUAUAUUUGUCAUUGGGGGUUUUUGUGAGUUUUUUAUGAGUCUUUCACUCCUUGAGCCACUCUUGUUAUGCAUUUGGAGUGCCGAGGGUUCAUAUGAGAGUUCUAUGAGAUCCUAUGCUUCUUGGAUCAUGUUUGAUAUAUAUUAGGUAUGAGAGAUGAGUGACCUUUUUACUAGGGUCUCCGGAUCAUUGUCUUAUACCCACCAUUCCAUCAUUGGUGAUAUGACUUUCCCUUAUUGUACUGAUAUGGAUUGAUCAUCAUUCAUUCCCCUUUCUUAUUGCCUUACUUUGUAUCUCCUCACCCAUUUUCAGAUCUUUGUUCCACUUUUUAUCCAUUUCCUACAUAUUGAUACACAUUUUUGUUUUGAUACCUUCUUCACAUCAUUCACAUGUUUCAUUGAUGCUUUGACUACUCAUCUUUCUCUCAUUUCGCCAUCAACAUUUCCUUUGGUUACCUUUAGGUCCAUGGCUCAUGAGAUUUUUUUCUAUGCAUUACAUCUUAUACACGAGGGUAUGGGUUUGAUCAUUGGGUAUUUGAGCAUAGUUUCCCUUCAUUUCUUUCACCCUAUUACCCUGGCCUACGUUACGUCCCGUGUCUUAAGACCACCCUGAGACCAUGAGAUCAGAUGUUAUCUUUGACAGCCUCUACUUAGGUUGGUGUUUGGGAUUUGGUUGAUAUAUAGAUGUUGUCAUGUUUCUUCUUCUGGGAGAUGCUUCUUUGAUGCUUGGAGGUGAUUUGGUGAUGGAUGUGGAUGAUUGCUUCAUUUUAUGGAUGAUAUUUGAUGUUAUCCAGAUUUUCAUUCUACUGUGCAUCAAUUAUCUUACUGGGGCAUAUUCCCCUUUCAUUUGGUUGAGAUGAGCCCCUAGUGGAGCACUUUCUUUGAGUCUGAGCAUUUUCACCGAUCAGAGAUCCCUAGUAGGGUAUGUUGAGACUAUAUCAGUUCUAGUGGAGCAUCGUUGAGCCCCUAGCGAUUCCAUUCGCGGAGUAUUUCUGAGAUAGACUAGUGGAUUUUUACUGAUUUAGAGGCAGUUUUCAAUGCAGUGUAUAGAUCUGGCAUACUAGGGCAUAUUUCCCCAUUUUGAGGUUACCGGAUUCCUAUCAGAUUUAGUUAAGGUUUCAUCAGAGACAUGCUUCUACUCUUGAGAUUACCACGUCCCUCAUCAUUUUGGCUAUCCAUUUGAGAAUAGAUUUAGCGUGUCCCCCUUGAGGCAUUGGUCGAUACUUCAUUUUGACUUCUUAGCAGAUUAUUGUUGAGUUGAGGAUAGUUGAUUGAUGAUGUUGGAUUCAUCCUUUGGUUGUGUAUUAGAUAUCCACACUGGGGCAUAUUUCCCCCUUCCUCCGAGGUUCCUAUCUGUUAUUGGGCGGUAUGACUAUCUUCAUUCAUGGUUAUAGAGAUGUUUGGUUGAUUUUGACAGACUCUCUAUUGUACAUCAGAUAUCCACACUGGGGCAUAUUCCCCCUCCUUGAUGAGAUUGUAUUUGGGCAGUGGUACGAGGAUGGAUGAUCAUUGUUAGGUGAUUGCCUCACGACUUCGACAUCAGAUAUACAUAUUGGGGUAUAUUCCCCUUUCAUUUGGUUGAGAUGAGCCCCUAGUGGAGCACUUUCUUUGAGUCUGGGCAUUUUCACCGAUCAAAGAUCCCUAGUGGAGUAUGUUGAGAUGAUAUCAGUUCUAGUAGAGCAUUGUUGAGUUCAUUGACAGUUUUCAUGAUUCUAGGUUCCAUCUGCGGAGUAUUUCUGGGAUAGACUAGUGGACUACUACUGAGUUUAAGAUAGUUUUCAGUGCAGUAUAUAGAUCUUGUACACUUGGAUAUAUUCCCCUACUUGGAGGUCACCAGAUUCCCAUAAGAUUUAGUGAGUGAUUCAUCAGAGACAUGCUUCUACUCUUGAGAUUAUCAUAUUCCUCAUCAUUUUGAUUAUUCAUUUGAGAUCAGAUUUAGAGAGUCUUCCUUAAGAUAUUGGCUGAUACUUCAUUCUGAUUUCUUAGCGGAUUAUUGUUGAGUUGGAGACAGUUGAUUGAUGAUUUUGGAUUCAUCCUUUUGAUUGUGCGUCAGAUAUCCACACUGGGGCAUAUUUCCCCUUUUCUCUGAGGUUUCUAGUUGUUGUUGGAUGAUAUGACUAUUCCUAUCCAUGAUUAUAGAGAUGUUUGAUUGUUUUUUACGGAUUCUUUAUUGUACAUCAGAUAUCAUACUGGGGCAUAUUCCCCUCUCCUUUGCGAGAUUCGUUUGGGCAGUGGUAUGAGGAUGGAUGAUUAGUGUCGGUUGUUUACAUCAUGAUUUUGACAUCGGAUCUUAUACUGGGGCAUAUUUCCCCAUUUUCUUUGAGUAUCCUUGAGAUUGGGAUAGUAGCCAGUUUGGUUUUAGAUUAAGUACUAGCUUAGAGCUUUCGAUGAUUGACUGUAUCAGGACCCCCCUAUAUGGAUUUGUUGAGAUAGAGAUGGAUCACAUUAGAUUUCACCUGAGGAGCAUGGGUGGAUUCUUUAGCUAGAUGUUCAUGAGAUGGAUUUGUUUUCGAUCAUCAUUGUUAUCUUGUCGAUUGGGUUAUCCAGAUGAGCACCAUUUUGUGUACUUUGAGAUUUGCUUUUAGAUGAGCCACGAUAUACACACUUUGAGAUUUACCUUUUGAGAUUUGUCGACAGAGCAGCUUUUCAGACAUAGAGAGUUCUUUCAAUUUUGACUUUUCAGAGGUUUGUUGUGACGUAUUCGGUUCCUGACCCAUUGAUUUCAACAGAUGAUUUAUUUACCGGCUGUUUCAGCAGUGUGAGCACCCUGGAUACUGGGGCAUAUUUCCCUUCUUGAUUUCAGUAGUCCGACCCUUGACAUUUUGAGUAGGUGGCUUUAAGUCAAUUUAUUUCAUGCCCACUUUCGAGUUGGUCUUCUCUAUUAUUCCUUUUUUUAGGCCCUGAGCCUCGUAGCCAUGAGCUAUCCAUUCCUUCUAGACCCUGAGUCUUAUAGCCCUGAGCUAUCCUUUUUCCUUUAGGCCCUGAGCCCACUAGCCCUGAGCUAUCAUUUCCUAUAGACCCUGAGUCUUAUAGCCCUGAGCUAUCCUUUUUCCCUUAGGCCUUGAGCCCACUAGCCCUGAGCUAUCCUUUUUUUAGGCCCUGAGCCUCGUAGCCAUGAACUAUCCAUUCCUUCUAGACCCUGAGUCUUAUAGCCCUGAGCUAUCCUUUUUUCCUUAAGCCCUGAGCCUAUUAGGCCUGAGCCAUCAUUUCCUAUGGACCCCGAGUCUUAUAGCCUUGAGCAUUCUUCUUCCCUUAGGCCCUAAGCCCGCUAGCCCUGAGCUAUCCUUUUUUAGGCCCUGAGCCUCGUAGCCAUGAGCUAUCCAUUCCUUCUAGACCCUGAGUCUUAUAGCCCUGAGCUAUCCUUUUUUUUUUAGGCCCUAAGCCUCGUAGCCAUGAGCUAUCCAUUCCUUCUAGACCCUGAGUCUUAUAGCCCUGAGCUAUCCUUUUUCCCUUAGGCCCUGAGCCCGCUAGCCCUGAGCUAUCCUUUUCUUUUAGGCCCUGAGCCUCGUAGCCAUGAGCUAUCCAUUCCUUCUAGACCCUGAGUCUUAUAGCCCUGAGCUAUCCUUUUUCCCUUAGGCCCUGAGCCCGCUAGCCCUGAGCUAUCAUUUCCUAUAGACCCCGAGCCUUAAAGCCCUGACCUAUCCCUUUUCCNNNNNNNNNNNNNNNNNNNNNNNNNNNNNNNNNNNNNNNNNNNNNNNNNNNNNNNNNNNNNNNNNNNNNNNNNNNNNNNNNNNNNNNNNNNNNNNNNNNNAGUCUUAUAGCCGUGAGCUAUCCUUUUUUUUUUAGGCCCUAAGCCUCGUAGCCAUGAGCUAUCCAUUCCUUCUAGACCCUGAGUCUUAUAGCCCUGAGCUAUCCUUUUUCCCUUAGGCCCUGAGCCCGCUAGCCCUGAGCUAUCCUUUUCUUUUAGGCCCUGAGCCUCGUAGCCAUGAGCUAUCCAUUCCUUCUAGACCCUGAGUCUUAUAGCCCUGAGCUAUCCUUUUUCCCUUAGGCCCUGAGCCCGCUAGCCCUGAGCUAUCAUUUCCUAUAGACCCCGAGUCUUAUAGCCCUGAGCUAUCCUUUUUCCCUUAGGCCCUAAGCCCGCUAGCCCUGAGCUAUCCUUUUUUUUUUAGGCCUUGAGCCUAGUAGCCAUGAGCUAUCCAUUCCUUCUAGACCCUGAGUCUUAUAGCCCUGAGCUAUCCUUUUUCCCUUAGGCCCUGAGCCCGCUAGCCCUGAGCUAUCAUUUCCUAUAGACCCAGAGUCUUUCCAGCUCUUAGCUGAGCUUUCAUCACUUGGUCGCCCAUGAGUGGUUUGACCUGGAGUUUGCGUAUCACAUUCUCCUUCUAGCCGAUCAGUCAUAGAGCCCGGAGCUCAUAGUCCUGAGUUAUUCAUCGACCCAGAGUCAUUUUCCAUCUUGACCCAGAGUCAUUCAUAGCACCCCGAGCCCUGAGCUCACGACCCGGAGUCAUUUGCAUCAUUCACAUCCCUGAGAUGUUUCAUUUCAUCAUUCUAGCCACUUGUGAGUGGCCUCGACCCGACACCUUGAGUCGGAAAGUAUCCUGAUCGGCUAUCUAGUUAGAGCCCGGAGCUCUCGACCCAGAGUCAUUUUCCAUUUUGACCUAGAGUCAUUCCUUUCUAUUUAAAGCCCAGGGCUCUCGACCUAGAGUCAUUUUCCAUUUUGACCUAGAGUCAUUCUUUCCUAUUUUAGAGCUUGGAGCUCUCGACCCAGAGUCGUUUUCCAUUUAUGACCCAGAGUCAUUUCUUUUAUCUAGAGCUCAGAGCUCUCGACUCAGAGUCGUUUUCCAUUUACGACCCAGAGUUUUUUCUUUUCCAUCUAAAGCUCAAAGCUCUCAGCCUAAAGUCAUUUAUUCUCCAUUUAAAGCUCGGAGCUAUCGACCCAUAGUCGUUUUCCAUUUAUGACCUAGAGUUAUUUCUUUACCAUUUAGAGCUCAGAGCUCUUGACCCAGAGUCGUUUUCCAUUUCGACCCAGAGUCAUUUUCCAUUACGGCCCAGAGUCAUUUCUUUUCCAUUUAGAGCUUGGAGCUCUCGACCCAGAGUCAUUUCUUUUCCAUUUAGAGCCCAGAGCUCACGACCUAGAGUCAUUUUUCUCAUUUAUGGCCAAGAGUCAUUCUUUCCACGUAGAGUCUUGAGCUCACGACAUAGAGUUGUUCCAUUUUUAUGAUUACGACCCCGUGUUCUGAGCUUACUCUUGUCAUGUGCUAGGACAAAAUCUUUGGUCAUUUUAUUUUAGUUCUUCGGUACAGUUCACUUCGUUCCACUCAUUGUUUGUAUUUUUACUCACAUUCCCUACACUCGUGAUCGCUACCGAAGAGGGGCAUAUUUGUAGACCUUCCAUUUUGUCCUCCUAGCAUAGGUCCUAUUAGGUAUUUGUUCUGUACUUUACAACAAUUCCCUGGUGGACCAUUACUACUCGUGUAACCUAUCCUUUCUAAGCCACUUUGGGGACUUUGGUUGAGGGAUUUAUCUAACUCCAUUGUGACUCUUAGCAGCCCUAAUUUAGGCUUAGGUCCACUUAGGCACCCUAGACUUAUUUAGGUACAAUUGGCCCUUUAGGCCCAUUCAUUUAGGUACACUUGGCCCAUUAGGCACCACCUUAGGACCAUUCAGACUUAGGCCCACUGAGGCACUCUAGGCCCAUUUAGGUACACUUGGCUCAUUAGGCACCACCUUAGGCCCACUUAGGCACUCUAGGCUCAUUUAGGUACACUUGGCCCAUUAGGCACCACCUUAGGCCCACUUAGGCACUCUAGGCUUAUUUAGGUACACUUGGCCCAUUAGACACCACCUUAGACCCCUUUAGUUACAUAUGGCCCAUUAGGCACCGCCUUAGGCCUACUUAGGCACCCUAAGCCCAUUGAGAAGAUUUCCGAAGGAGCCGCACCAUUGAGAAGAUUUUCGAUGCAGCUGCACCCUUAAGGAGAUGAGCAAGAUUAUUUUUUUCUAGAGCGUAAGAAGGUGCAACCGCACCAUUGAGAAGAUUUACGGUGCAACCGCACCCUUAAAGUGCUUAGAGGACAAAAUGAAGGGUCUACAAUAUGGUCAGCAAGGUGAGAUUUGUUAAUGUAAACCUAUGACCCUAGCCCAAAUGAAAGAAUUUAGGCAAACCAACAAAGGGAGAAAGAGUAGUUAUUAGAUAUGAUGAAGAAUGCUUAUACAUAGUAACUAUGCCAGAGCUCCCUUCUUCCUGUCUUGAACUACUGAGAGAAUAUACUAGUAACAUCCUCAUUCUUCCCGAAGUACAGAACCUUGAAAUCCUCUGUAUUUUUGAAAAUGCAUCUAAUGCAAGAUCUAGACCAGAUUCAAACCCAAAAGCGUCUAAAGCUAGCAACACCAAUGCCAAAUAAUUUGGAUCUUAUUCCAACUAGCUUCCUUGUCAAUAUGCAUAAACUCCAUAAGCGUUUAUCCUUGAAACAAACUCAUUUUUGUGUGGCUUUAGAAUGUUCUUUGUUUCUCUCUAACCCUCGGUAUAUUAACUACUUUGCUAUCUCAUCCAUGUUUAAGGCCUGGGAAAUGUAAUCAAAUGUACGCUAGGAUAAACACCAAACACAAGAAAGAAAAAAAGAUGUAGGAGUGAAUUUAAACAAAAACAUAGAUGCUCAAAAGAAUCAAACCAUUAAACAAGAUCACAUCUCAUACUAUUAUCAAUGGAUCUAAGUAGGUGAGACAAGCAAAGAGCAAUGGCAUGAUAAAUCAAGAAUCAAACUCAAAGGCAAUCCAUGUUUCAGCUAUUUAUGGGAGAAAUUGAAGAAAACAAAAUUUAAUCAAAAUAGAUCAAACAUGAGAACAUACUCAUAUUCAAUAAAACUCUACACAAUCUAACAAAUUAGCAAUGCUCACUUAGCAAGAAGAAAAGAUGAAAAGACAGUGAUAAUGAGGAAAAAGAAACUUGAAAAACACAACAUUCCUUACCUAAGAAUCUCUUCUUCUAGUAGCAUUAGUUAGGAUUUUGACAAUCUCCUUUUCUUCUUUCGAUCCACUAUUUUUUUUUUUCUAUUUGCUCUAAUUCAUCUUUCCUUGUUUUUCGGAAAAUCACAACAAAAUCAACCCUCUCUCUCUAACCUUAGAAACGAUAGAAUAUUCCUCAUAACUCAAAUCCUCUUUUCUCUGUGUCUUUCUCUCUAGCCAAAAAAAUCCUCUAGGUAGGUAAUGGCUUCUCUUUUAUAUGCUCAUUCCUAAAGUCUCUAAUAUCUAAGAAGAAUAAGAUCCAGUCAUUCAUUCUUCUUGAAGAGUUUUGAUCAACUUCCCUCCAAAAAUGCAUGACAAUUGUCAGCAGAAAUGAAGCUUCUUUAAUACACUCGAAUCUUAAUCCAUAUACCUUAAAUGUGAGUCAUAUUUUCCACCAUUCACUGUUGAGAUCAAUUCAAUAAGAACAUGUGCUCCUAUGAAGAUUCAUUCAAAAUGGGUGAUAAUCCAAUGAUCUCUAAGGGUAUGCAGUGGUGUCAUUUGGAUGUGUGUUGUUUAUGGACUUUAUUGGAUUGAUAAAAAAAAAAAAAAACAAAUUUCAAUAUACUUUUUAUUACUUUUAUCAAGUGCAAUGAUGUGAGGCACAUGCUAGCUUUUAAUUCUAGAACCAUGCAAUAAUAAUUCAAAUUAAAUCCUAAAUAAACCUAAAUACAAUAAGAUCAACAAAAUUAAUAGAAUCAUAAGUUAAAAUCAGAAGCCAAUCACACUAGAAUUCCAUAAAUAUCAUCCAAGAAGCCUCUAAAGGGGGUUCAGAGACAACAAAUUGAUGAGUUAUAGUGGACUACCAAAGGAGUCAUGAUAAAAGUUUAGAAAUGCCCCAUGAGUGUGCAAUAAGAUGACAUAAGAUAUAUGAAAUUGUAGACCCUCUCUUUUGUCCUUUUAGCACACAUAAUGCUAGGUUGUUGAAAUUGAGUCCUAGAAAGCAUGACAUGAUGUAACAGAUUGAGAUUCAUUUAUAAAAUUAUUUAUUUAUGUUUCUUGGUUUCCCUUAAAUAUCUCAUUUGUAUUAAUUGGUUAUUUGAGCAUACACACCCUACAUCACUUACAUUGUACAUGACUUGGGUGCAUGAGGAGUUGCACAAAAGGUUUAAGUCAUGGAUUCCUAUUAUAGUGAUGAGUUGUCCACGGUUCAUUCAUGUAUUUAGGCUAUCCAUUUGAGAUUGUAGUACACUACCUCCUAAUUGGAGGGAUAGCUUGUCUUGUCUGUCGGGAUGGUUUUCUCAUGGUGAAUGUAAUAGUGCAUGUGAUGUGCAUUAGACAGGACCUAUGGUCAAUCAUGACACAAGGCUAUCAAUUGUCAUGAUUCACUAAGCUACUAUACUGCAUGGACUCUCAACCUUGAGAGGAUAUUGAGCUUGUGCCAAAGUUAACAAGAGGCUUUGACCUACGGGUGAGACUCUUAAGUGGUCAUAUAUCCCUAUAGAUUGGGUCACUAUUGAUGGAGGUUGGUGGCAAUAGAUAUUCUCAAUAGAAGCACCAUCAUAUCUCAUGGAUUGAGACAAUGCGCCCCCUUGGGUGAUCCAAAGGACAUGUGAUCUAAAAUACUAUGGUCAUAGCAUUUCCUUUAGUGGAAAUUUGACAUAUGCUUCUUAGAGCUAGAGUAUGUCAAUUAAUCACAUAAUAAAUAGGAUUUGUAACUCAAGGAUUAGAAAGGUAAUCUUGAUAGGUGAUAGCACUGCCUUAUUAUAUUACAGGCACUAGUUCAUGGGGAGUUGCAUAUAGUGGAUAGUAGGUCAUGGAACCUAAGCUUCGUCUCAUUGUUAUUUACAUAGGAUCUUGGAAUGCAGUUGAUUCUCUAUAGUGGAAUGUUGAAUAAACUUCAAAAUUGGAUUAUGAGAAAGCCACUACUCUUAUGGGACCCAAUAGUCCCCACUCUAAGGUCAUAUACCAUGAUGACAUGAUUUAUGAGGGUUGAAUUGGCUUUUAGUUCAUUCUUGUGCAUAAGGGUGUUUUGGUAAUUACACAAGGUUGCACAAAGGAUAGUGAACAAGUUCUCUGGAUUGAGUUAAUUAGUUAAUUAGAUGACCAUGUGUGGUUAAUUAAUCAAUUAGGACCCAUUUUGGGCUAGAUUAAGUGAUGCCUUGGUGGGCUUGAGUCACUUAAGCCUAAUAGGGGAACCCUAUAAAUACCCCUAUAGGGGCUAGGGUUUCCAUAACUUUUAGAGAGACUUUGUCUUUCACCUUUAGAGAAAAAGAGAGAUAGUGAGAGCCAAGAGAUCAUCUUUUCCAAAGUCUACACUUUGGAGUGUCAAGUUCGUGGUUCGAGUCAUCAGGCGGAAGAUCUUGGGUGUACGAGACUUCCAGAUUCAUUGUUCUUCAUCUUCUUUGAGUAGAAUUGAUUUAGGAACAUCCAAAUCAAAGGUCAAGUUCUCUAAUGGCUUUCCUCUUGAUCCUAGAAUUGUAAAGAUAUGUUUUUUGCUUCCGUUGCAUAAGAUUUAAAGGCCUAAGGUAGUUUUGCAUGCACCUAUAUGAUCUAAGGUAACAAAAUGAAGAAAUUCAGGGUUCCCAACAAUAGGUACUACUUAAGUGGGACUCACCCAACUACUAUCAAAGAUAGGAUAAAUGAUACCAACAUCUAAGAGCUUCAAUACCUCAUUUUUUACUACAUCUUGCAUAAGAGGAUUUAGCCCUCUUUGUGGUUGCCUCACUAGUUUUGCAUUCUCUUCCAAAUAAAUAUGAUGUAUAAAAAUAAAAGGAUUUAUCCCUUUCAAAUCUAAAAUAGACCAACCAGUGGCUCCUUUAUGCUCUUAAGCACCUUCAAAAGCUUGAUCUCUUGCUCUUUAGUUAAUUUAGUAGAGAUGACCACAAGUUUUUCUUCAUUUUCCUCUAAAUAAACAUAAUUUAAACCAUGUGGUAGGGGCUUCAACUUUGGUUUGUUGAUCUCAACAUCCCCUUUUUUGCUUUCUUCACCAUUCUCAAUGUUGUUCAAAGUCUGAAUGUUAACUUUUCUUUCCACUCUGUAGCAACUUCAACAUGUUCUUCCUUAGUGAUUAUAGAGAAAAAUUCAUCUAUCUUCUCCUAUAUUAACUUUUCUGUGUGUUCUUGUUCCAAGGCCUUUAUAAGGCAUGCUUCCUCAUCCUCCAUAUCAUCAUGGUCCAUCUGUUGCUUGCAUAAAUUAAAGACAUUCAUUUCCAUUGUCAUGUUCCCUAAAUAUAAUUGCAUCAAUCCAUUGCUAUAGUUAAUGAGAGCAUUGGUCUUAGCAAGAAAGAGUCUUUCAAGAAUAACUGAAUAGAAUUCACACCCUUCCUCAACGAUUCUAUAUCUAGUACCAUGAAGUCCAUUGGGUAGUAGAACUUUUCAACUUGUACCAAGACAACUUUAACUACACCUCUGGAUACUUUAAUCAAAUGGUCUGCUAAGGAGAGUGUAAUGGCAGUAGCCUAAACUCUCCUAAUCCCACUUGCUUAUAGAUUGAAUAUGGAAGCAAAUUUACACUAGCUCCCAAAUCCAAUAAAGCUCUUUCCAUGAACGAGUCUCCAAUCUGUACUGAAAUGGUAGGAUAACUUGGAUCCUUAUACUUUAUCAAUGCCUUAUUCUCGAUGAUGGCAUUGACUUGCUCGGUGAGGAAUGCCUUCUUGCCUAAUUUGAUUCUCCUCUUUACCAUGCAUAGAUUCUUAAGGAACUUCAUAUAGGCUACAACUUUCUUAAUCAUAUCAAGGAAAGGGAUGCUAAUUUUCACAUGUUUAAGUACCUCUAACAUUUUUGAAGUCUUAUUUCCUACUCUUUUCCUUUGAAUAGCUAUAGGAAAAGAUAAAUGGUUAGGAGACUUUCCCUUCUCCUUAGUCAUAAUGAUUUCUUCUAAUUUUUCAAGUGAUUUCUCAUUUCUUACAUUUUCUUCCAGAGUUGAUUCAUCUCUAGCAUCACUUUUUUCAAUUACUGGUAACUUGGGGCCUACAUAUUCCUUUCCACUUCUAAGUGUGAUAAGUGUUUUAUAAUCUUCAUUUAGCAUCUCAAAAUUUUCAUUUAUCAUCUCAGAUUUUUCUAUGGUUGAGUUAGGAAUUUACCUUUCUCUUGAGAUAAGCUUACAGUAAUUUGACUUAGAGUGGUAUGGAUAUCUUCUAAGGCUUGAGAUGUCUAAGAAUUUAUCCUUUGUUGAUCCUUAUAACGAGUGUCUUGUUUUUGUAUGAAUUGUCCCAUCAUGUCUUCUAGGCUUGAGUUAGACAAUGAUAUAUGAGGUUGUUGCUAAAAAUUCUGAGAUGACAUCCCUUGUGGUUGAAAACCUUGUUGCCUAUUACUCUAAUUAACCUGAAAUUAAUUUCCUUGUUGCUAUAAUCGGCCACUGUUACCUCUUCUCCAUGAUAGAUUUUGAUGGGUUCUCCAACUCGGAUUAUAAGUGUUGGAGUAUGGAGAGUUGUUAAAAUAUUGUCUGUAUGUCCCUAAGGCAUUGGCUUGCUCUGAAAACAUGUCUUUUACUGUAGGUAAAGUGGGGCAAGAGUGAACAUCAUGUUCCAUGGACUUACAUAUCAAGCACGAUUGCAUUGUUCCCACAUUGACUAUCUACACCUCUUGAACUCCCUUACCUUCUAAAUCAUCCAACCUCCUUGUAAUUGUGGCAAUCUUUGCUUGAAAAUCUAAACCCUUUGAAAGGGUAUAGAUUUAACUAGCUUUUUCUCUAAGUGGUUCUUUAAUGAAAGAAUCUUCCCAACUUUUUGACACUUGAGCAACAUAAUCUAGAAAUCGAAAUGUUUUAUUGGGGUUUUUACUCAUAAAAUCUCCACCACACAUAGUCUUAAGGAGUUGCUUCAUCGAUGUUGUCAUCCCCUCAUAAAAGUAAGAUACUAACAUCUAGUUGUCGAAUCCAUGAUGGGGGCAUGUUGUAACCAUCUCCAUAAAUCUUUCCUAACAAGUAAAAAAUUUCUCAUCCUCUGUAGCUCUGACGUUAGAGAUCUCAUUCUUCAAUGCACUCAUCUUAUGUGGUGGGAAGAACUUCUACAAAAACGUUGACUGUAGCUCACCCCAAUUUCUGAUGCUAUAGGGUCUAAGACUAUUUAACCAAGUCUUAGCUCUAUCCUUCAAUGUUAAAGAAAAGAGCUUUAUCAGAAGAAUCUGUAAAGGAGUGUUGGCUUCUUGAAACUUUGAACAAAUUUCCUCAAAUUCCUUGAUAUGAGAGUAUGGGUUUUCAUUUUUUAUUCCCCUAAAAAAUGGGUCAGUGAGGAAUCGACUAAGCUUAAUGAUGACAUGAUUUUGAUUUGGAGGUAUGACAAAACAUGAUGGUGUGGUUAGCUUAGGAGGAUUGAGAAACUCCCUCAUAGGUCUUUGCCCUUGGAUAGACACUUGUAGCCUAUCAUUAUUACUAUUGAAUCCCUCGAUGGCCCCAUGUCCAAUUAACAUUCUUGAGUUGUUCUUUGAAGUCUACCUAAAAAAUCUAUUUUCGAACCAAACAUAAAAUAGAAAAAAAAAAUAGAAAUAAAACAACUAAAAAUUAAAGAAAAAUUUAAAUAAAUAAAUAAAUAAAAUAAAAUCUUAAAGAAAAUUAAAAGAACCAAAAUAUUAAGCCUUUUUACGUAGCAACUCUAGCCAAGAAAAACCAGAGAAAGAGUCACUACGACUUUUGUAGUACUUCAGGUAUCAUUCUCUAAGACUGGCCUAUGGAUGUUGUUAAACUAGGUCUAAAUGAUUGUUUUUUUUGCCUAAUUUCUUGAAUUGAAAAAAAAAAUUGAUUUGAAUAAAAUUGAAUUUAAUAAAAUAAACCUAAAUAAAUUUCAAAAGAAUUAUUGAUUUCUAAUGCAAAUGAUUCAAGAUUGGGGGUUCCAUAAUCCAACUCCGGGUAUAGGGCCUCAGGCAAAACAAGGGUAUCAAUUUUAGUUAGUCUUAGGGUAUUCAAAAUGUGGGGUCAAACAAGAUCAACUUGAGUUCCAUAACUUAGGGUUGCAUCCAUAAUCUAACUUUUAAUAUUUUAUUCCAUUACUAAAAUACCAAAUAGAUAAAUGAGUAUGAAAAUUAGGUUUAGGUCUACGAUUUAGGCCUUUACCACUCUGUGUAGAUUUGUAUUAGAAUAGAUAACAAUAGCAAAACCUUAGAUAACUAGGGAUCAAGAAUUGCCAAGAAUCCCUAAUAUCAAGGAAUAAGCUAUUGUACCAUCCCUUAAUUCAAACUAACAUUAGAGGAUAUCUUUGUUGUCAUCUAUGCCUCAACCCUUCAUCUAUUCCAUUUUUAGUUCAAUGUUACCCAUUGUUUUCCAUUGGCUCUAACACUAGGUUUUCAUGUUUCACACCCCAUGAUGGCUUUUUAGCCUCUCAUGGUGGUGAUUUCAUUCACAAAAGAACCAUUCUUGAAUAAAAGAAAUUAGAAACAAUUGAUUAAAAUAAAGAAAACAAAUCGAGAAUCUUCAAUAUCGUCUUGUCCCCCUAAGAAGAUACAAGAACAUCCAAUAAUUCCCAAACUCCUAAAAAAGAAUUGUAAUGCCCUAUUUAUAGGCUAAAAGUUAAGUUGACACAUGGCAAGAUCCUAAAGAGCAUGUAAAUCCUUCCUUCCAAAUCAAGGGCUCUCUAUGAAAGUUGUAAAAAUUUGAGUCAUGGGAAUCUUUAAUGAAAAGAUGUUAAUUUUGCAUGAGAACAUGAGAAGGCUCCAUUUCGUAUGGUCAUGCAAAUUAUAAAUGGAUUGACAACAUUCUAACAUCAUUCUGGUGUGUUUGGCAUAGUCGUGUGAAAAUUUGUAUGUUAAUGUGAAAUUGAUUUCCAUAGGUUUUUGAGCUAUUGCAAAAGUGAUCUUUUUGGUCCAUUUCACACAAUCAUGCAAAAUUGUUGUUCUAACUUUAUUUGCUAACAAAUUUUUCUUCUCUAGCUAAUUGUUCUUUAAUAUAAUCUAGGUUAUUUCUUAGCAGAUUAUGGUUCCUAAAGUCUUCCAGCUUCUUUUCUAAUUCCUAAGACUGUAUUUAGUUUUUCUAAGGAUUUUCUUUGUCUUUUUUGGAUUUCUUCUAAACAACACUAACACUCCUUUGAUUUUUCUUUGCAUAGUUCUCUUUAUCAUCCAUAUCUUCCUUGUUUCAACUCCGAUUUAUGCGUUGUUUAAAGUGUUGGAUUUCUACCUUCUCGAACUUCAAAAUGAUAUAUAGCAUGCCUAAAAAUGACCUCGGGAAGUACUCAAAUUUUCAUCUCAAAGUCAUAGUAUAUGUUGUUCCUAGAUUUUGAGUUCUAAUUAGAAUAUAUGAACUUCAAGCCAUAUCUUUUAACCUUCUUUCUCAGAUUUACUUGCUCUCCAACUCUUUCCACAACCUUCAUUUCUCAUCUCUCAUACUAUGAAUUUCUCUACUUUCAUUUUUUGAAACUUCCCUCAUGUUUCACACUCUUGGAGCUUGUUCAAAGCAUAUCUAGUCUCUUCUCUACGAUGAUUGAGAAUGAUUUCUUCAACUUGUAUCAUUUUCAUCCUUUAAACCUAAGAUUUAGCUCAAGAUAUAUGUUAGAUCCAUGGCUAGGGUCUUAGCAACAAUUUAAGUUAAGUUGGGUGAAUUGAACCUUUAGAUUUGCAUAAUUCAUUCCUAUAUGUGUCACUAGAGCAAAAUUUGUGGUUCUAAUAAGAUAAUAGGUCGCAGACUAGAGUAUUUUAUCUUGAUCUAAUAUCAUAGGAUACUAGAGUGCAAUUGACUCUUUAUAGUGGGAUAUUGAGUCAGUUGUAGAAUUGGAUUCUUAAGGAGCCAUUUUUUUUUCUGAGUCCAAUAGUCCAUGCUCAAGCUCAUAUUCCUAGGUGACACAAAUUUUAAAGGUUAGUUGGGUUAUUUAUUCACAUGUAUGUAUUAGGGCAUUUUCAUAAAAACCCGAAGUUGCACAAGUGCAUGUGACUAUUAUCUCUAUGUUGGGCUAAUCGAUUAAUUGGAUCUCAAUAAGGCUAAUUAAUCAAUUAGGACCCAAGUGAGCUGGAAUAGGUGACUUAAGCCCAAGAUGGGCAUGUAUACCCACAUUUUUCACAUGCGUCCCCACUCAUCGGCAAGCCUCACUUUUAAAUGGUGAAAAACUGUAUUUUUUUUAUUAAAAAUCGGAGUCGCCACUUAUUUUAUUUUAUUUUAAAAGAGAAAAUAAACUAAGAAAAAAAAACCCCAAAGAAGUGACUCCAAUUUUUUUUUUAAAACGUGUCUUUGAAAAACCCUAAUCUAGGUUUGGGGAUCAAGUUACUUAUUAGGAAGGUACCUCAAAGAGGUAGCACCCCUCUAAGCCCUAAAGAGGUCUCUAUUAGCUAAGUCAAGGGAAAUAUGCUAAGGUGAUUUCAAAAUUACCAUGUCAAACAAGAAAGCCAAUCACAAUCACAAAGAAGAGUUAGAGUGUGUACCUGGACUGCUUCUUAAGCACUAUCAUAAGACAUCGAAGUUAGUUCAAAUGGUAUAUUAUUCGGCAUGCAUUUUAUAAAAGAUAAUGAAACAAAUGUCAAGGUAAUCAAAGACAACAUUCAAACAAGGGCAAUGACAUGCAUAUUCAUAGAAUUUUGAAAGUAAGAUUGAGAGCAUACCUUAUCAUCGAGCAAUUACGUGCUACAUGGGAAAUAGGGUUAGUGUAAAAUAACAAGUAUAGAAUAAUUAUGAAUAUGUCAUGGAAUAGGAUUGAGAUCAAUCAACAUUCGCUAAGCAUAAUAGUCAAUGAUCAAAGGAGAACCCACGUAUUGGGCCCCACCAAUGCCCAAUUUAUCUUUGCAUGAAUUAAGUCCAUAAGCUUCAUCUCCCUAAUAGUCAAGGAGGGAUGAUAGAAAUUUGGAGAAAUUCCAUUAUUCUUAGAAUUAUAGAACUUAUUCAUGCUUAUAUAUAUAUAUAUAUAUAUAUAUAUAUAUAUAUAUAUAUAUAUAUAUAUAUAAAGUCAAGAAAAUAGCAAUAAUAAAUAAAUAAAUAAUAAAAUAAAGAUGCUUAUCGAGAGAAAAUGGCAGCAAAAACUAUUAAAGAGAGCUUUCAUUAACUUUAAGAUCACUAAGGAAGAAUAAAAGAUAAAUAACUAAAACUAUUUGAAAAUCAAUUUUUGAAAUCAUGCAAGAGGAAUUAAUGGAUGAAUUACAUGGCUUUAAAAAUAAUGCGCAGGAGAGUGGCCAUGCAAAGAACAUUCUCUCCCACUGGAGGGUUGAAGCAACUAUUAGCACCCCAAAGUCGGUGCUCUGAUUUCCCAACUCAAUCCUCUACUAGCGUGUCUGAGGCUUCUCCCACUUCUAUUCUCACUUCUUGCUCCACUAACUGAUCCUCGCUUGCAUCAUGAUUCCUUUCAUUUUAUGAAAUUCUUUGAGGUCGUUACUACUUUGCUCCUGCUGCAUCCAAAUGAAUGAAUUCUUCAAGGUUCAAGUCUUUCUAUUGGAAAGAGGUAGACAGUGCUGAUUUCUGGGAGAACUCAUAUAUAGCAAGCUGACCAUCACUGUACAUUUUGCUCUCUGCGGUUGCAUUGACAAUCCGUGUUGCCAUGUUUGCCAGAACUCCUUUACUUAUCACACCCAUCAAAGAUUCCACAAAAUCACCUUUGUCUCCUACAACCAUCUUCCUUCUGAUGCAUGCAAAUUAGACGUGAGCACAUAGUAACAAGCUUUAUCUGGAUGCAACUCCAGUUUCCUCCUAACUGCCACCCUUCCAACAUCAAACCUCAAGUGGAGUUCGCAUCCAUGAAUAAAAGCUCCCAAUGAACUCCUUCUGGUAUCUGCUACAAGUUGAAUCGUUGGUGAACCACCUUCAAAUGGGUCAACUGUUGUUGCGUCCAAAUAAUCAAGCACAUACUAUGGGAACGGGCCAUGUGCGCCUGGGUGGCAAAAUGGAAGGUGGCCAUGCAUGGCCAUGCAAAGGUGGGAGCUUAGGUGACUUAGAAAGAUCUACAUGAACAUGAGCUUGUUGUGUCUUUAACAUAUCCAUAGACUGACUGGUUUGAAACUGAAAUAAUCGGAGGAGUUGGAAGCUUCCCAUGGUAUUUGCACUUGGGUUUUGAAGCCCACUAGAUGCCCUUUGCUUCUCUUGAAGGGGUAUUUCGAUUUCAUUGCCGCUCUCGGAAGGUGAUUUAGACUGCCUCUCACUACUCGAAUCAUCAAGCCGAGCUUUACCAAAACUUAGAAAGCUUAUUUCUGGAGAUACUGCUGAUGAAGCUCUUAAAAGGUCAUCCCUUGAAAAUUCUAGGUAGCAGGAGAUUGGUUACUUGCAACAGAUUGGGGUCAGGACUGAACUCACUAGGCGAAACUUGCUCCUCACCGGUCUUCCUCUGACACAUCGACCUCGAAUCCAAAGGCAACACAGUUGGCUCUGAGUAAAAAUCAUUCCUUCCACCAAACUCCUAUGGUGUGGCUGGUUGUUUGAGGUGUAUCCAACCACUUCCAGAAUCACUUCCAUGAGCAGUCCCAAAUUAAUCACCAGAAGACUCCUUAGUGGAUUCUGAGAAUAGCGAACGCGGGGAGUACGUGCACUUACCAUGCGCACACCACGUGGAUAUGUUCCUUGUGUCAAGGCAUAGUUUAAAGUCGCAGUAUCGGUGAUUGACUCGAGAAGUUCUGAGGCACAUCGGUCUCAGUUUCUCGAAUCGGUAUCAGGUGAUAUGCAAAAAAUUCUAAUUUAAGAGCUCAAAAUAAUUUUAAAAAUUUAUGAAAAUUAUUAAAAAGUUAAAUACAAAUAAGUAGAGUAAAAAAAAUAAUAAAAUAAACUUCUAUAAUAUUAAAAUUAUUCAAAUUAUAAUGAAAGCAUACUUUUGGGAUAAUUUAUAAUAAUAUUAAAAAUCUCUAAAAAUAUUUUAAUUUAAUCACUUGAUAAUAAAUGUUUCUUAUUGAAGAUGAAAAUAAUAAAAAGUAAUUUUUUUUAUAAAAAAUUAUUUAAAUUAAAUAUUUUGAUUUAAAAAAAAUAUUUUUAAUUAUUAAAAAAAUAAAACCGUGAUUCAUCUUUUAAAAAAUAACUAUAAUUUUUUUAUAAAAUAUAUUCAUUAAUUUUAAUUUUUAUAUAAAUAUUCAUUUUCUAUUUAUUUGAUAGAAGUCUAAUAUUCAUUAUUCAUUUUUUAUCAUUAUAAUUUUCAUCAGAUUAUUUAAAAUCCAAAUCCCCACCAAAUACUCAUUAUGUACUUAAAAAAAACAAAUAUAUACUAUUUAAAAUUCAAAUCCUCAUCUAUACCCAUAACCCUCAAUUGCCGGUCAAACACCCAUCUCUUUCUCCUCUAAACCCACAAAUCUUAGGCAGCUCCUCCAUAGGCCAACUUUCUCUCUUCUCCCACUUCCAUCAGCCACCUCACCGUUGUUCUUCGUCGAUAACAGCGGUGCAGGAGUCCGGCGACUCUGCCUCCUCUUCAUGUCGCUCAGUUCCAUCUCCGGCAGGAACUUGAGUGAUCUGAACAAGCAUGCGUGCUUCUUCGACCUCGCUAGCUCUAAGAUGGAGGGUUCUAACUCUCUAUAAUCUGUAUUUUUCAUUUUCAUGGGUUUUGAUCCUCUCAUCUUCUCCACCAUUUCUACUCCACUGAGUUUGUUCACAAGCUAACAAAAUAUCCAACUCGGGUAUGGGUCCGAUACCGGCCAUGGUCGAGGCAAAUAUGUCUCGGCCAAGUCGUACCGGUAUCGACCGAGAUUUUGAACCCUAUGUCAAGGUGACUUUCUACUGACAUUUGGGCCUGAGAUUUAACAUGUAUUAGGCGUUGACUUCAUAAACAAUGCCGUGUAAGAGUAUCCUGCAGCAAAGGAACACCGUAUGGUUCAUCACAACAGUUUUUAGUAGCUCCAUUUGUUGUCGGUGUGAUGUACUAUUGAUUUUUGUCAGGGCUUCGGCUACAUCUGAGUGGCCGAAGGAUGGCUUCUCCAUCUUCUAAUUCUAAAUCCAUAGAACUUUCAGAAAUCGUGCCGAAAUGACAUUACUGAGUGCACGACAGCACGAAGAAGCAUUACACAUGUCACCUUUCGCCUGAGCUGUUUAUCGGCAGUUUGUUCCGUGACCUGGGUAUGUCUUCUUUUCCUCAAAGUAUUCCAAUCAUCUUUCAAUAUGGUUGACUCAUGAUCAACGAAAUUUGGGUCGCUUAUUCCUUAGGACGAUUCAAAACAUCAUCGUUAGCCACGACAUGGGAAUAAGCUCAUUUAGAGGUGAGUCUGCAUUCAUUCCGUCCGCAAUACCAGGGAACAUGAUUGAUCCACCACUGAGCACAACACUGCCAUAGUAGUUCUUAUCUUAAAUGGUUGUUGUUGUCAUGAUUGCAGAUUUAACUAUAAAUGGAAACCCAGAUGGAUGUGCAACUUUGAAUGAUUGUGCCAUGAUUCAGGAUUACUAGGAUACUACUAAAGCCCUCUAAAGAUGGACCAUUCUUCACCUUCUCAUUGCAUAUAGCAGCGGCUUGAUUGGAUGUACAAGCAAUAGAGGCAGGGUGCUUCUACCAAACAUAAUCUUGUCAUCACAAGGACGUGGCGCCAAGAGAACACCAGGUUAGGAGACCAAUCGAGUCAGAACAUUGAGGGUACCAGGUGGCAGGCUCAUCUCCGUACACACAUUAGCUAGUUUCUAAACAAAUCACAGAAACCAUCUCAGAUGACCUUAAUAUUGCCAUGCACCCAAUUAACUAAGGCAAGAGCCAUUUUCUGCAUAACCGUCACCUGUCCUCUUCAAGUUAUUAGAAGUCUUUUCCUGCAAGAUCUAGCUUCUUACAUUGUCCACACCAUGUCGAGGAAGAGUAAAGGCAACCAAUCAAUUCAGAAGCAAAUUCCCAUGCAUUAGUUCUUCUGACUCAUCAAACCAUCAACACCUCAACUUUCCAUAUUGCAAAAAGCCACCCAGAUUAUCUACAUCCUACUGCCUUGUGAAAAGAGAACCCCAAGUCCACAAACUUGAAGGAGAAAGAGAGCACAGAAGUCACUUUCCAUUGAAACUCCUUCUGACAAUAAUGUUGAUUUUUGAAUUUGGAAGGGGUGUCAUCCGACAGAAUGCGUCUGCUCCCAAGUAUGACCCACCACUUCACUUUUGUUGACAAGUGCCAAUAACAACUGAGAUCCCACUCUCUGAGCCUUUACAUCAUGAUGUCCAUAAGCAUCCUUCAAAAACCUAAUCGGUGGUUCAAUAAAAUUCUUAGAUGAUAGCCAAUGCCAAAAUUGAUCAUCACCCUUCAAGUCUUUUUCUGCAUCUUCGAACAUCUGGCACUUGCAACUUCCAUGGAUGUGUAUCAAGUUCAGAUAAAAACUUCAAAUUCGUCAAAGGUUUAUCCGCAUACCAUGACAUAUGUGAGAUUCGUUACUAGUCUUCAUGGAAAUCAAAUUUGAGCCAUCUUUGAUAUUAAUACAUGAGGAGCCUGAACUGUAACGGUUGUCUAAAGAUUCAAGUGAUGUACUGCUGAUAUCUAUCGGCAGAUGUAGAUCAUUCAUAGAUAGACUGAGGCUUGCGAUAGAAGUAGAACAAGGUUCCAAUGUGUUUUGUGGUGGUAGUUCUAGACGUGGGCUAGGUUCGAAGAUUCCAUGCUCCUACAAUAUCCAGAAGCGUCAUCACAGAUAAGCACCAGAAACAGGGGAAGGUAUCCAAAAACAGAGCAUAGAGAAUAGAAACCAAAGGAACCGAUAAAAGCUGUGUUUCAUAUUUCCAAUCAACGGGUUUAAAUAGGUGGGCAAAACCAAACAUAUUUUAAAUAGAAAUCAAAACAUGAUCGUGGGCAUCUCACAAAAAAACUAAAGCAAUACCAAACUAAUCUCGAUAAAACCCAAUAAAAGUGAAAGAUGAACACACUAUAACCCAUCCCAAACAAUCCAAAGCAUAGCAAAGAAGCCAAAUACAUGACAUGAUAUCCAUACCCAAAAUCAACAACAAGCAAAUAGGUCUUGAUGACCACACCAAAGCACCCAACCAGUCUUAAUAAUAGCAAACAAAAUAAAUGUACAAAGGAGCACUGAUUUGACAAUGAAGAACUUACCUCUAAGAGGAUGCAAACUGAUGGAUCUCCUCUCUAUUCGCUCUUCUUUCUAUUAUGCUCCCCUCUCUCUGUUAUGCCCUUCUUCCCCUAUACCUCUGUGGGACCCCCUCUCCAAGGCCGUCCUGUGGUCCUCCACUCUCUCAUGGCCGUUUGGGUAGGCAAUCCGUCUGGGAGACUGCAUUCCACUGUAUGGCCCAACGGCCCAAAGGGCGAAGUGGCUGAUCCGUCCCAAAGUAGGUUAGAUGGACAAAUCCCGGCCGACCAUAACUUGGAAAAGUGCAGAAAUAAGGAAAGUAAUAUCACGAGGAAAGGAUUUUAAAUAUUUUCCUUAAAAGUAUUUUUGAGAAUCCUUGAGGAAUUAAAAGUUUCCAUUUGGAUAAGGNNNNNNNNNNNNNNNNNNNNNNNNNNNNNNNNNNNNNNNNNNNNNNNNNNNNNNNNNNNNNNNNNNNNNNNNNNNNNNNNNNNNNNNNNNNNNNNNNNNNAAGGUGCUUUAAAAGUUUCAAAUUCUCAUAAAUUGGAAAUUUUUUUAUUAAACUAGAGUUUCCAAUUUAAAAAUAAGUAUUUUUAAAAUUUUCAUUAAAAAUAAUUUAUCAUUAAAUGUUAUUAUCAAAAGAAUUCAAGCAAACUUAGUAAUUUGAUGAAAAUCUCAUUAAAAAAAUAAAUUAAAAGUAUCCAAAUAUGCUUUCCAACUUUCCUAAAUAUUAAUUUUUAAUUAAAGAAUAAUAUUCCAAGGUUAAGACUCCAAAUGUGAGGUCUAAUAAUCUCCCUAAAUAUUAACUUUGAUUAAGAAAUAAUAUUUGUAAGAAAUAGAGAAAACUAUCCAAAUAUGUAUCUUUUAACCCUUAUAAAUAGAGAACUUUAACAAACAUACACAAAAUAGAAAAUAAGAUACUUCCACACUUGAGAAGAGUUGAAGAAAGUUACCUCAAGCAUUCAAGGAGUUCUUCAAGCUUUGAAGAUUUGAAAAUCAAGCCUUUAAAGAUUUGAAUAUCAAGUCUUCAAAGAUUUAAAGAUCGAGCUUUUGAAGGUUUGAAAAUCAAGCUUUGAAGGUUUGAAAAUCAAGCUUUGAAGAUUUGAAGAUCAAGCCUUUGAUGAUUCGAAGACCAAGCCUUCGAAAAUUUGAAGAUCAAACCUUCCAAGAUUCAAAUCUUCAAUCUAAGAUCAAACAUUCAUGCCCUUGGUGAACGUUAGCUACACCGAAGUCCAAGCCCAAGCUAAGCCUAAGACAGGCCAAAGCCCAAGCCCAAAGGUUCAAGCCGAAACUUAAGACAAGCUAGAGUUCAAGUCCAAGACAAGUUAAAGUUGAAGCCCGAGCUCAAGAUGCAGUAGGGUCUAAACCAAACCAAGGCUCGAGUAAAGCUUAAGAAGAAUCAAAGAACAUAUUAGAGACUAUUUCUAACUUCAUAAAUAGAGUAAGUUUACAAUUUUAUCUACAAUUUUCUUACUAGAAAAUUUUGUGUACACCUAGCAACUACUACUCUAAUGUUGUAGUUAUGGUAAUUGAUCUCCUCAACAUGGUAUUUUCCUUAAAAGAUUGCAUGGUUGAUUCCACAUACCAAUUCAUAUGCCGGAUCAGGAUUACCAAAUUUGGGCUUACCACCUUUUAAUUGAACAAGGUUGGUGAUGUUUCGAAUAUCUCCGCAAGAAGAGAGCCUGCAGGGCUGGUUUUCACUAGCAUCACAAAAUGAAAGAAAAAAGACAUGGAGGAGUGUUAUGAGGCCUGCUCCCACAAGUUUUACUUCUCUCACCAUCAUAAGUUCAGAUUCAGAAAGAGAAGCUGCAUGCCUUGGUUUUGGGCAUCCCCAAGUUUCAGAAGAAGAUAAAAUUACAUCCCAAUGAGCUAAGCCAGCUUAGAGUUCAACUUUCUUUGACUAUUCAUUGGUGUCACAAUCAUCUACCCAAAAUCUUUGAUUUUUUUUUUUUUUUCCCUCAUCAUAUUUGGCCCCGGGUCAUCAUCAAUGUACAACCACAACUAAGUACAUUGGAGUUGUCAGGAAACCUUGUCCAUGUAGCAAAUAUCAAGGAAGUUUACUGCACGCUUCUCAUUGUAGGAGUCAAGCUGUCUAGAGUGAAGCAAGUGGCAUAGGAUAUAUCUCCUUUUCCACUUCUAGUUCAUUUUGGAAUUGAAUAUAUAGGAGUUCUUUCCUUGAAAAAUACAAAAAAAGUGAAUCAAUAAGAAAGGCUGGAGGAACAGACCAAAAGCUAUGGGGAUGAGCAAUUGCUUAAAAAUGGUCUUCUCUUUGUUUCUGUUCUUGUUUAUGAGAUGGUCUGUAGAGAUUGGAGCGAGCCAAGAUGAGUGCAAGGUAUCAAGAUGCAGCAACCAUGGCCCAGUUAUCAGGUUCCCCUUCCGGCUAAAAGACCAGCCAUCUCAUUGUGGCUAUCCCGGGUUUGAGAUAUCUUGUAUAGAAAAGAAACAGACCAUCCUAGAGCUGCCAUAUUCCGUAAGCCUUUCAGUGAAGAAGAUAAAUUACACCUCUCAGGAGAUUAUCGUCCAUGACCCAGAUUUUUGCCUUCAAAGACAGCUUCAAAACCUUACUUUGUCUGCCUCUCCCUUCCAGUUCAAACUUGGAAGUUACAACUACCUAGUUGACUACACCUUCUUCAAUUGUUCCUCAAAAAAAACACACUCAAAUAAUUUUUUUUCCAUCCCUUGCACCGUUCUCCUCAGCAACCCAGUCUAUGCUGUUGAAUCUGUCUUUAAUCUCAACCUCUUGGACCUAUCCUCUUGCCACAAGAUUUACGACGUUACUCUCCCAGAUGAUGUGGUUAAUAGGGAAAAUUAUUUGUCCUUAACAUGGUCAGAAUUGAUAUGUGGAAACUGCGAAAGAGAAGGUAAGAAAUGCAGACUGAAGGGCAAUCUUGGCAAAGAACCUGAAACUGAAUGUAUUGAUCAGCCAGGAAAAGGUACUAUAUGGAUUCAUUCCUCUCUAAUCAAUCUGCUUCCUCUGUGCUAUUCUAAAUCCUGAUCAUACUACUUAUUUUAGGGGGGUUCGUUUGUUGUAGAUAAAUUAUAUAGGAAUUGGAUCUUGAAAAUAUCAAAGCAGAAGGAAAACAUAAUUAUAAAUUAUAUUACCGAGGAAAACGUGAAGCAAGAAUUCACAUGCUUAAACUCUUAUUUUUAUUAUUAUUUUCUUAACUCUGACACACAUAGUAGUGAUGGGAGGGGCUUACCAAGCUUAACAAUCUAAUAAUUGUAUUAUUUUCCUUACAGGUGUAUCAAAAAACAAACUGGUUACAGGUGACUUUCUCCUCUCUCAUACUUCCCUUUUGAUUAAGGAUUAGGAAGAGAGAAAAGAUUAUUAUUAGACUCUUUCUGAAUCUAUUUAGACAAACCUUUUUAUUUUUAUUUUUUUUCUGAUCACAUGCAGCGGUAAUCCUCAGUUUCUGUCUUCUGGUGCUUGUAGUCAUCGUACUCUAUCAUGUGUAUAGCUCAAACAAAUUAGAAAGAGAGAAUACAAAGAUAGAACAGUUUUUAGAAGACUAUAAAGCUCUCAAGCCCUCAAGAUACUCCUAUGCUGAUAUUAAGAAAAUUACAAAUCACUUCAAGGAAAAAUUGGGUCAAGGCGGAUAUGGAACUGUGUAUAAAGGAAAGCUUUCUAGUGAUGUUCUUGUUGCAGUAAAGAUCCUAAACAAUUCAAAAGAAAAUGGAGAAGAGUUCAUUAAUGAAGUGGCAAUAAUGGGUAGGAUCCAUCAUGUCAAUGUGGUUCGCUUGGUUGGAUUUUGUGCUGAUGGAGUUAAACGAGCUUUAAUUUAUGAGUUCUUACCAAAUGAGUCUUUGGAGAAGUAUAUAUUUUCAAAAUCUAUCAAGGACUGCUCACUUAGCUGGGAGAAGCUUCAAAAUGUUGCUUUAGGCAUAGCUAAAGGAAUUGAGUAUCUUCACCAAGGUUGUGAUAAAAGAAUUCUCCAUUUCGAUAUCAAACCUCAUAAUAUUUUGCUUGAUCAAAACUUUAAUCCAAAAAUCUCUGAUUUUGGUCUAGCCAAAUUAUGUUCCAAGGAACAAAGUGCAGUUUCAAUGACAACAGCAAGAGGGACCAUGGGCUAUAUUGCACCAGAAGUAUUAUCAAGGAACUUUGGAAAUGUGUCCUAUAAGUCAGAUAUUUAUAGUUUUGGAAUGUUGCUGCUAGAAAUGGUAGGAGGAAGGAAGAAUAUUGAUGUCACAAUGGAGAAGACUAGUCAAGUAUACUUCCCAGAAUGGGUUUAUAAUCAGUUAGAUCAAGGGGAAGACGUGUGUAUUCGAAUUGUGGAAGAUGGAGAUACUAAAAUUGCAAAGAAGCUAACAAUUGUGGGACUUUGGUGCAUCCAAUGGUAUCCCAUAGAUCGCCCUUCCAUGAAAGUUGUCAUUCAAAUGUUGGAAGGAGGAGGAAACAAUUUAACCAUGCCGCCCAACCCUUUUGCUUCCAUAGAUGCAACAAGAACAAACACCUGAAGGCGAAAAAGAUCUCUUCAACAAGAGUUGGCAGUCAUCUCAGAAUUAAUAGAGUGAACAAUAAUUUAUCUUUUUUAUUAUUAUGAGUGUGCAGCCUAGAUAUUGACCAUGUUGUACCCAUUCAUCAAUGUAAGUUUAUUGUUGCUAUUUAGAUUAUAUUGUUUAUGCAAGAGAUUUUUUUUCUGAAAAAAAUAUAAUAAAUGGAUAAGAGAUUGUUAUUCAAAAAGAGUAGGCUAUAAAAUUAAUAAGUGGCUUUAAGAGAACUUAUGGAUUGGCUUGAUAUCGAAGAUACUUCAUAGGAAAAAUUAUCAUGAUUUGUAGAGAAAUAAAUGACAAUCGAAACUACUUCUAACUAAUAUGGGUAUGUUACUUUUUGUUAAGCCUCGCAUGAGUUUCAAAUUAAAACCUUCUAUUUUUAUUUUUACUCAAUUAGUCUUGCACACUUUUAGAAGUGUUUAAUAUUAACAUAGUAUUUUUUUCUAAGACAAUUAUGUGAAUAGAAGGGAAAAAGUGACAUUUUUUUUUCUUUUCUUAACCUAAACUUUUAUAAUACACAAACAUAAAUCCUACCCUUUCUUUGCUUCCGUUGCUAUUCUAGCACCACCAUUCUCUUGACUAAGAGCAAUAUGGCAGCCUUCCAACGCGUAAUAUUUUUAGUACCCUAGUACUAGAUUUACCCAUAAUAUUCCCCUAUAAAAAGUAGUUUCUGCCUACCCUGCAUCUCAUUUGAUUAAAGCAAGGAGUUGAAACUCUUUUUAAACUAGGUGUUGGAUCAUAUAAUGAGACACCCCUUUGUCAAGGUAUUUCAUAAUCAUUUCAUUCAAAACUAAAAAUUAAAUAAACAACCCCAUUUAGGGAGUUACAUCAAUUUAGUAUUGUGAUUUUGAUCGUAUAAGAAUGCAUGCCUAUCAAUCAUCCUACAUUUCAACUAAGAAAAAAAUGCUGAAAAUUGACAUGUGGAUUUUGAAUUGUGAGGGUUUCUACUAAUAGAUGCAUUACAAAAUAAAUUACUCAAACCUCUUCAAGCUUUACAACCAUAUAUACCUAAGAAUCUAAAAACAAAGGGAAUUGGCUUACAUAUUGUUUAGAUAAUGCAUUAAUUUACAUGUAUAGUGAGAGAGAAAGGGGAAGAGAGAGAGAGAGAGAGAGAGCAGUUGCAAGUAGAUACAUUGUUAAGUUACCUCCCAUCUAAGCUAAUUGUAAUACUUGCAUUAGGUGACGAAAUUGGAACCCCCAUUGGGUUGUUCUCCCUAUUCAAAGCUGAUGUUUCAUGAGAAUAUAAGGUAGGUUUAGGAGGUAGUUGCAAUAGUUCAACACCACCUUCCAACAUGUCGAGUACUUUGCUCAUAGAAGGACAAUCCACGGGCUUCAUUUGCACACACCACAAUGCAACUAUGACCAUCUUCAUAAAUAUAUAUUUCUUUUCAUCCUCAGUGACAUCUCCCAUUUCCAUAUCUUCUCUUUGUUCAAUUCAAUCAUAAAUCCAUGAUGGGAAGAAUAAUUCACUAUGAUAUUCCUCUUCAUAUCUACUAAAAUGCCUUUGUUUUCUCACCAUUUCCAUCAACAACAUCCCAAAGCUAUAAACAUCAGCCUUAUAUGACACAUGUCUAACAUUUUUAUAAAACAACUCUUGAGUAAUGCAUCCUAAUGUUCCUCAAGCUACAAUGAGAGAUACAACACUUUCAUUUAUUGAAUACAAUUUUGCAAGGCCAAAAUCUGAAACUUUUGGAGUAAAGUCUUCAUCCAAAAGAAUAUUGUGUGGCUUGAUAUCAAAAUGUAGAAUUUGCAUGUCACACCCUUGAUGUAAGUAUUCAAUCUCACGCCCUAUACUCCAAGUGCGAUUUUGUACAAUCUCUCCCAACUUGAAGGAAUAGUUUUUUCUCCUUUAAGGAAGAUAAACUUAUCGAGUGACCCAUUGGCAUAAAGUCAUAUAUAAGGGGCCAUUUUGAUCCUUCUACACAAAAUCCAACAAGUUGUACUAUAUUAACAUGGUGAAUCCUUCCAAUUGUAGCGAUUUCAUUGAUAAAAUCUUGUCCAUUAGCUUUUGACAUGACCAAUACUUUUAUUGCUACAAUGUAGCCACUUUGAAGUAUUCCUUUGUACAUAGAGCCAAAGCCUCCUUGGCCCAACUUAUUCUUAAAAUUAUUAAUGGUUAUCUUCUUUAAAUGUGAAUAUAAGUACCUAAUGGGCUGGAGAUUUUGAUGAUUUUGAAGAAACUCUUCAAUAUCAUCAUCUAAUGAUAAAUGUCUACAUCGAAACUGGUAGAUUAAAUAGCCAAAAAGACAAGAUAUCUCGAGUACAAAGCGUCCUCCAAUGAUUGUCAUGACUUAUGGAUCAACAUGAAAAAAAUGAAUAUUUUAGAGUUUAUAAUCACAGGCAUUCAGUUAUCAAAUCAAACAAGUAGAUUUGCUUCAAAAAAUAUUAUCUUAGGCAAAGAAAUUAAAGCUUACAACGAUAGGGUUUAGAGAUUCUUAUUCUAAUAUAGGUAUACCCUUUCAUUCAUUUUUUUUAGACCAUGCCUAUGAUUCAAUGUUAUACAUGUUUUUCUAUGUAAUUAGGAUACUAGUCUUUAAUUUAUAUUACUUCAUGAUAAAUUGAACACAACAAAACGAAUUAUUUUCAAUGUGUCAUUGUGAAAUAGCUACAUAUUCUAAAGAAUAUAUAAUGUUUCAAACAAAAUUGCUGCACUUAUAAUUGAGGGAUUUUAAUCACUGAGUGAGUCAUUCUCUGUUUGAAUUUAUCCAUUGUCCAAAUUCAGGUUAGAAGGCAAUUAUUAAAGUUGAAGAUUUUACUAGAAACAUUUUAGAACAUAAUGUGAGAUUUUGUAAUCAGAGUUUCUAUUUUCUAAGACAAUUAAUAUUCUAUAAUUUAUUUAUUUAAAUAAAUAAAAUUGUUAUUUAAAAAUCCUUAAAAUGUUUCCUUAAACUUUAGACUUAUGUUUGGCACUUACUUUGAAUGAAAUAUUGUACUAAGCAUAUAGAGUAAUUUUGAAUGUUUAGAUGGGUAUUCAAUUUCUUGUUGGAUGAAAAUUUGAAUUGAGUAGAAUUAUUUUGAUUGCUAAAUGGGUACUCCAUUUCUCAGUUUUGAAAUAUACAUUUUUUUUCCCUCUUUUGUGAUUCUGUGUUAUGUUUUUAUUAACUUCUUUUGUUUCAUUAAUUAUUGUUUGGGCUUUGUUUCUAUUCUUUAAUGGAAAAUAUUUUGUGGGCUUUUUCCCAUUUUCUUUUCUUUUACUGGUUUUGCUAUCCUAAUUAUGAGAAAAUUGCAAGGUGUUUUUCCUAUAAUUAACAAGGCAAUUCAAUACCUAUGGGUUUACAUAUGUGACUUAAAACUUGAAUAGUACUCAAUCUCAAAGUCUCCAUUGCAUUGCUUAGAAAAUAGCAUGCAUUUAGGAAAUGCAAUUAAUUAGGGAAUUAUAAAUUUUUAUUUCUAUAUGCUUCAUUUUCACUAAAGUAAAUUACUUGCCAAUUGAAUAAGUCUAUUAUUGUGUAUAUAGGAAUGAUUGUGUUAGAUGUUCUAUUACUCAACAUAAAUAAAAAUGGGCAAAUUUAGUUUAAAGAAAGUUUGGAAUUCAUGGACAAACAAUCCUAUUCAUUUCCUACUUAAGUUUAGUUAGCAUUUGAAUAUAUAUUUAGAAUAUUUUAUUAAUUUGUUAUAGCCUUAAUAAUUUUACACUAUUUCAUUAUCAUUUUUUAAAUUUUCUAAUUUUGUAUUUUUUUUUUAUUUGUGAAUUUUAAUUUUACCAAAAGAUUUCUUUAGUGUUCUUAAAUUUAUUUGUUAUUAAUAACAUUUGUAGGAAAUUGGCAAAUAAUAUUUGUUAUUAAUCCAAGAUAUAUUAGUAUUCUUAAUCAAUUUAUUUAUUCAGGCUAUACAUUAAACUAUGAAAAAACUACUCUUUAGUUCCUAUUUCUCUUUUAUUCUCAAUUGUUGAUGACUCUAUUAACCUAUCCAAUUAGAGGAUAACUUAUAUACACAAGAAACGAUAAAAACAAUUAAUCCUCCAAAAACUAAGAAUUAUAUAACAUAUAGAAUUUACUAAUAAUUAGAAAUAUUAGAUAUACAUUGUUUUAAUUCCUAAAUCCUCUUAAAUCAUGUUUCUUAGUUGUUACUCUUUUCCUCAACACUAUUGAACGCUAUUUCAUAUCUUCUAACAAUGAAAAUCUCUAACCAUAUUUUUUUCAUCAAUAUUAGUAAUGAGAAACAUGUUGCUAAAUGUACCAAGUUUUUGCUUAGUCCUAACUAAGAACCCACCUCAAGGGAAUCCCUUAAGAAAUUUUUUGCUUUAACUAGGGAGUUUAUGGUGGUGAGCAAAGUUGAAUUAGUUUUUGUGAAGAUUUAUAACUUCAAUUAUACUUAUUGAUUGUUGCAUGUAGUUUAAAGGUUUUGUAUUCUUUCUAUCUUUAUUUAUUUAUUAUUAUUAUUAUAUAUAUAUAUAUAUUUUUUAUAUAGGUUGCAAAGGAAACAGAUUUACCAAAAAUAGAGAAAUUGUUAUAUUGAAGGAGGUGAUAUUGAAAACCAUGAAGAUUCUAUCAAUGGCUAAUUGAAAGGUUGAACUAGAUUUUUGUAGAUUAUGGUUUCUCUUAUUAGUCAUUGUAUUAAUGUUUGGCCCAAUGUUGAAGGAAUUACACAUUCUUGUUGAAAUCUUUUGAUAUAAUUGAUAAAUUUAUAUGUAAUUUGUAAAUAAGUAGUUAAAAUAAUUAUUCAAUAUUUGGAGAUAUUUUAUUUGAUAAAUUUAAUUUUAUUUUAUGAUAUAUUUUUAAAUUUUAUUUACUAUAUAGGAAAUCCAUUAUUUUAGUAAUAUGAUAUAAAUUUCAUUUUUUAAAAAAGAAAAUUUUAAAGAUGACACUUUUAAAAGUGUCAUUGAAAAGAUUAAUCAAAUAUGACGCUUCUAUAAGUGUCAACGUUGACAAUUUUAUUAAAAUUAUUUAAAGAGAAAAUGUUAGAAAAUGACGCUUUUAUGAGUGUCAUAAUUAACAUUAUUCAAAGAUGACGUUUCUUAAAACGUCAUUGAAAGCUUAAAUCAAAUAUGGCGCUUUGUAAAAGCGUCAUUGUUGAAGAGAAUGGUGCUUAAAAAACGUCAUUAUUUCCCUUUUUCCUUGUAGUGCUUGUGGCAAGAGAUAGGUCCAAGCGGUCAAGAUUAUAGUAAGAACCAACAUCAUAGACUGGGUUGCUGAAGAGAAUGGCGCAAGGGAUGGACAAAAAGUAAUUUGAGCUGUCUGUUUUAUUUGAGAAACAAUUGAACAAGGUGUAGUCACUUAGGUCGUUGGAAAGUGUAAGUUUGAACCGGAAGGGAGAAGCAGACAAAGUAAGGUUUUGAAGGCAAAAAUCUGGGUUAUUUUCUAAUGCCUUCCAUAAUAAUAUAUGAGGUACUACUUAUUAUCUUUCUCUUUUGGUGUUGUUUGGUUUGGAGGAAAAUUAUUUUCUAAUAUAUACUAAAAUAAUUUUUUUUUUUUAUAAAAAAUAUAAUUUAUAAUUUUAUUAUAAUAUUAUUAUUCAUGUUUUGCUAAAAGCCAUAUAUUUAUUUUUUUAAUUUAUUGAUAAUUAUAAAACUAUUUUCAUUUUUAAUAAGAUUUGAAUUACAUUUAAAUUAUAUUAUAUAAAUUGAAUUUACAAUAUUCUUACAAAAUAAAAAAAAAAAAAUUAAAAACAACUUAUCCAAAUAAGUUUUUUGUUUUUCAUUUUUUUAAAUUGUUAUUAAAAACAACUUGUCAAACAUCCUUCGCCCUGUUUGGGAAGUAUUUUAAAAAAUUGUUAUGAAAAAACAGUUUUUGACAUUUUUAGAAACAAAAUUACAUUUGAGAAUUGAUUUUUGAAAAUUAGUUUUAUUUUUCAAAAAAAAAAAAAAAAAAAACAUGAUUGAGUUAAUAAAAAAUGUAUUUUAGAACAAAAGAAACAAAAAACAUGUUUGGAAGUUGUUUUUUUUAAAAAAAAAAAAAUGAGUAUUUUCUUUAAUUAACUUGAUAUUGUAAUUAUAUAAAUAAUUUUUAGAUUCAUUUAAAUUAAAAAAAAAAAAAACCUAUUCUAUAUAUUAUGAAAUUUAUUUGCGUGAGUUAUAUUUUUUUUUUAAACAAAGGAUUACUUUACUAGUAUAUUACACAGCAUGGAAGCCUACAAAUUUGUCCACCACUACUUCUUCACCUCAUCCUUGGACUAAUUGUUUGUAAUCAUUCCCUUUGCAUACACCUUUGGUUUAUACUCACUUUAAAAGUAGUCAUUACAUGAAAACCCCCAUGUCAAAGGUAUCAACCAUUGAUGUAAUCUAGUAGCUAAAACAAAAAUGUAAAAACGAAUAACGAUUCAAGUAUUGGUACAUUUCAGAUCAUUACAAGAGACUUUUUGGGUAGCUACAAGCAAAGAAUAAAACGCAAACUAGCAGGAUAUAGACUCAACAAGCGAAUACAACACCUUCUCUCCUUGUCAGCCCACCUUCGAACAAUUGAGCCGAACCUAACCCAAUGGUGUAGUUAAUAUUUGGGUCAGGCCUACUUCCCUUGGAAGUUGUACAAAUGGUCUAGGAAGAAUUUGUAGUGAAGCACUCCAAUGCUAUAAGCACCUGCAAAUCAAAGAAAGGGAACAAACAAAAACCAUUUUUUGUUACACUACAAGAACUAGACCAAGAGCAGGACUUGUAAAAUCACAGUAAUACAAAACCGAAGGUCCAAAACCAAUGGCCCAUUUGCAAGAAAUGAGAAAUCAAAUUAAUGAAACACAAAUCACAAUCAUUUUAAAUAGAGCAGAGGUCAUUCAAAACCUACGGCACUCUAGAAGAUGCGUUAAUGAACCAGGAAAUAUUCAAAGAAAUCAUAAAAGUGAUCUAUCUUAACCUAAUGUUAAUAUAAAAGAUCUAUAAUUGCGAGAACAUAUGAUUCUCCAUUUGGUUGCUGCUAUGAGAAAUUGAAAUAUUGAAUCCAACAUCCAACAAAUGAAAAAGACAAACAAUUUCUUUAUCUUUUUGAAACUACAAAGCAAGAUAAGGGCUUCAAAGUGUUUACCCUUUUUCAUGGUCUUAGUUUUUUAUCAACCAAAAUGGAGAAAAAAAACAAUAUACAGUUGAGAAUCACUGGGAAAAAAUGGAGAAAAUUAAUGAGUCUCAUAUUGAAUAGUGAAAAAAAUAAUGAUAAAUGCAAGUGAACAUCAAGAUAAAGGAACAAGAAAAAUCACUUCAAGACCAAAUUUGGAACCCAUAUCAAAAUCAACAAUAAAGAGGAAGAAAAACACCAAGGCAAAACAAUAUAAAUUAAAUACAAGAUGAAAGCUAUGAAAAUUCCAGCCCAUCUAAAUGGACUUUCACAUCUUUUUAUUUUAUGUCUGUUGGUUGUUUUCACUUAGAGAGUCACACAACUUGCAAUAGGCAAAGAUUAAAUCCAAAUGGAUUUUGAAGAAAACAACUAAGAAUUUGAAAACUUCAAUUACUAGCUAGUUCAUAUAACAAUUGCAAUAAUAUUAGUAGGUAUGCUUAUGUGAGAAGAAACAAAAAUAAUCCAUAGUCUAUUGCCAAAAUGUCUGUAAAAUAUAUAAGAAUGGUGUUGGUAGAUUUUUUAUUUUGAAAAAUGUAUCUUCUCUAAUAUAAUACAUAAAGCCAAAAUAUAAAUUUAAUAUCAAGUAUCUUGUGUUUGCCUAAGAAUGAGGCCUUCCAAACAAUUGACUUAGCAAUCAAUUCCUAAGCACUUUGAGCAACCAAAGGUCCAAAACGCCUGCAACAUAGGCUGACUUUUGUUUUUUUAAUAAUUAUUAGGGUCUCACAUCUCUGGAAGAGAAUGGAUUGAGAGCUUAGGUUAGGAGGAAGGUGAGCUAUAAUAUUGGAUCUAAAAAUGUAGAAACUCCAUUCUGCAUACUUGUUAAUUUUGAAAUGCAUCCAGAAGUGAUUAUUACAAGUACUGCAAUUUUAAGUUCAAUCAUUAAUUACUUUACCAGUUCUUGUAUAUAAUGUGAGUAUACAGAAAUUAAAGAUAGUAUACAGGAAAUUCAGACUCCCGAUUAUUAUCAUAUCUCUGAGGAUGAUGAAUAUAGACAAUCUGAACUAGCGAACUAGGAAGUGGGUGAGUUCGAUAUGAGUGGUACAACUUUGAAACCAAGUAGUAAUGACCACUCAGAAACUGAAGAAGUGAUAGAAGAAGGAAGAGACAGUACAAUUGAACCAUCACCACCAUCUGAACAAUUUGGGUCCGAAGAUAUCUUCACUGAAAUACUGAACCAAUCGUCAUCUGUUGAGGGUGUUCUUAAUUUGGAACCUGAUCCAUUCAUGAAACGGUUACCACACCAUCAUAAUAGAGGUAUUCCUAAACCCACAUAUGAACUUGAAUUGUCUACUGAAGUCAAAUAUCCCAUGAGUAACUAUGUGUCUAACCAUCGUUUGUCUGAAUCAAAUAAGUCAUUUGUAAAUCAAUUAUCUACUAUGGCUAUUCCUAACAGUGUGCAGGAAGCCUUAGUUGAUCCAAGGUGGAAAGUAGCCAUGAAUGAAGAGAUGAAAUCAUUGCAGAAGAAUGAAACAUGGGAACUCGUAGAAUGUCCACCAGGAAAGAAGCCAGUUGGGUGUCGAUAGAUCUAUACUGUGAAGUACAAGGCAGAUGGUAGUAUUGAACGAUUUAAAGCAAGACUGGUAGCAAAAAGGUACACUCAAAGUUAUGGAAUUGACUACAUAGAGACAUUUGCACUUGUAGCUAAGAUCAACACAGUUCGAGUAUUAUUGUCUUUAGUUGCAAACCUGGAUUGGCCAUUAUAACAGUUCGAUGUAAAAAAUGUCUUUCUGCAUGGCGAGUUAUCUGAAGAAGUAUAUAUGGAUCUUCCACCAGGAUGCAUGGUGUCAGAAAAAGCAAUGUCAGAAGGUGUGUAAAUUGAAAAAGUCAUUGUAUGGGUUGAAGCAAUCCCCAAGAGCAUGGUUUGGAAGGUUCACAAAGUCAAUGAGAGCUUUUGGCUAUUGUUAAAGUAAUUCAGAUCACACUUUGUUCUUGAAAAAGCAACAUGGUAAGAUUAUGACACUCAUCGUAUCUGUGGAUGACAUGGUAGUUAUAGGAAAUGAUCAUAAAGAAAGAAAAACUCUACAAAAUUAUCUAUCUAGAGAAUUCGAAAUGAAUGAAAGAUCUAGGUCCUUUGAAAUACUUUCUUGGGAUUGAAGUUUCUCGAUCAAGUGAAGGAAUUUUUUUUUCUCAAAGAAAGUAUGCCUUAGAUCUUUUACAGGAGACUGGAAUGUUGGGAUGUCAACCUGUUGAUACACCAAUAGAAGAAGGUCUGAAAUUGUGUUGAGCCUAAUCAAGUAUCAACCGAUAAAGGAAAAUACCAGAGACUUGUGGGGAGAUUAAUGUACUUAGCUCUUACAAGACAAGAUCUUGCUUAUGAAUUGAGUGUAGUGAGUCAAUACAUGCAUAAUCCUGGAGAGCAACAUAUGAAGGCAGUCAAGCGUAUUUUGAGGUAUUUGAAGAAUGCUCCUAGGAAGGGAAUUUUGUUCACUAAAAAUGUUGAUCAUUAGAGUAUAGAAGUAGUAUAUACUGAUGCUGAUUGGGCCAGUGCAGUGGAUGAUAGGUGAUUUACAUCUGGUUACUUUACCUUUGUAGGUGGUAAUCUUGUGACAUGGAAAAGUAAGAAGCAGAAUGUCGUCGCUCGUUCAAGUGCAGAAGCAGAAUUUAGGGGUAUGGCUCUAGGACUUUGUGAGGCAUUAUGGCUAAGACUCCUCUUACAGGAUUUAGGUUACCUAUCUAGGCAACCAAUCUAGGCAACCUAAAUCCGAUUGUUUUGUGACAAUAAAGUCGCAUGUGAUAUUGCUCAUAAUCUAGUACAACAUGAUCGUACAAAGCAUGUCGAGGUGGACAGAUUCUUCAUUAAGGAGAAGUUGGAUGAUAAGAUUGCGGAAUUGCCUAAGAUUCGAUCGGAAGAUCAAUUGGACGAUAUCUUCACCAAAGCUACAGUCUCAAGUCGAGUGUUCUCAAAAUUUUUAGACAAGUUGGGCAUGUGUGACAUCUAUACACCAACUUGAGGGGGAGUGUUGAGAUAUUAGGAAAGUUGAGAUAUUAGAAUAUUAGUUGUUCUUUCCUUAUAUCAUUCUUUCCUUGUAUCAUUCUUUCCCAUUCUUAGAAUGGUGAUUACCCUCUAUAUAUCCUCUGUACAUGAAUGAAUGAAAGGAAGAAUGAAAAAACUACCAUUUAUCAAUUUGAAGACCUCUUAGUUGGGAAGAAAAGGAAGGUGGUUGAUAGUUGAGUGAAGGUCGUGAAAACCAUUGAAAAAAUUAUUGCAAUUGUGGCUACAAUGACGAUAGAAAGACACAAAAUCUCAGGAAAUGCUUAGCCGUAUGACCCUAUUCAUCACAUAGAUGACAAUACCCUUUAUAAGGCUUUGAGUUAGAGUUUCUAUUUGGAUUCUGACUUUAUUUAGUACUGCUAUUACCACCAUUUUUGUAAAAUCUACCUUACUUAUAGGGGUUGUAGUUGCUUCAAUUAUUGGGAUUCUGUUUGGUUGUUAUAUUUGUAGUGAUGUUGUUUUGUUUUGUUUCAAGCCUUCUCUUUUGAGAUAACCUAUAUGAGCAAGUUGUUUUUCAUGAAGUUCCUUGAAGGUAAUAGAGGUCUCACAUGCUCUCAAAGAAACAACAAUCUUCUUGAAUUCACUAUUGAGACCAUCAAGAAUGUGUAUAAUGAGGAAGGUUUCACCAAUCGGGGCAUCAACAAGUGCUAGAGCAUCAUCAUAAUCUUUUGAUUGUUGCAUGUAUCGAGGAAUAGUGAGAGUGUCAUGUGAAAGAUGAGUAUUAUUUUCAUUUAGAUGAUGGAUCCGAGUAUGGGAUGGUUUGGCAUAUGUAGUGGCAAGUUUCUCCCAGGUUGCUUGGGAUGAUUCAGACAGUGUAAUGAAAGGAGAAAUAUCUUCAGAAACAAAACCCAAAAUUGCAUUAAAAAUGAGUUGGUCUUGACGAAUCCAAAAUAGGUAAGUAGGGUUAGGAAUUUCAGUAUUAUUCUCAAUUAUGGUUUUUGAUGGACAAGGGGUUGAUCCAUUAAUAUAAACUUUGAGAUUAAGACCAACAACCAAUGAGUUGAAUUGUGCUCUCCAAGUAGUAUAGUUAUUGGAUGUAAGUUUCAAGGGGGUUUGAGAAGCAACAUUAAUGGUGAUGAUUUGAUUUUGAGAAUCAAAGAGAAGAGAAGCUAUUGAAUUGAUAGGAAAAGAAACUAAUGAACCAGUCAUGGUUUUUGGUGUGCUACAGGAAGGCCCUAAUACCAUAAGAAGAAGAAAGGCAAAGGGCUGCAAGGAUAAACGAGAAAGCACACAUUGAAAAUUCUUAUUGAUACUAUGUUUAAAUAUACAUGAGUGUUGACUUGAUGUAUAUAGCAAUACUAAAAAAUGUUCCUAUAGAAAAUUCUAGUCUACAGUAAUUACAAGGAAUAUAUACAAUGAUCAAGCCUUGAUUUGAGGAAUUCUUAUUUUACCAGAAUUUUCUUUGGAAUCUCUUUUAUUGGGUGCAUCAUAAUAAUAUCUUCUGGAAAUGUUGUUGUUGCUAUUACAAGAAUUAUCUAUAUCAAUAAUGAUAAGGUUGGUCUCUUAGCUGGAAGGGGAACUUGUGGGGCCUUGGAGGUCAGUUGGCCCCAUCGGGGCAUAUCUUUCGUUCAACAUAGAACCUAGCUUAAUAUUUGCUAUAUCAUGAUCCUUUUACUUUAUUGUUGGUACUUGAGUAUUGCUUUAUUUUUUUUAUUUACUUUAGUGGUAGAAAGUUGCAGGUAACAUUUUAUUGUCUAAUGAUGACUUUGACCAUUGUUGAUUAAGUGGAAUUUUGGGGUUGGGCCCUAAUAGUUCACUUUCUUAGCACUUUCUGUCAUAAUAAAGUGUUGAACCCUUGUUUUAUUUUUUGUUACCUUCUGACACAGCAUAAAGGCUAGCACUUUGCAGAAUUUGAAAAAUUUCUCCAUCAAAUUUUCUUUGCAUUUUUUUAAAUGCUGGUACUUUCUUGGAUUUUCAGUUUUUCUUCACUAUUACUUGUAUUUUCUCUUCAGAAAUACAACUAUUUUACUUUCAUUUUCCAUUUUAAUCACUAUUUAUCUUUUGGUCUAAUUCUAGUUUAAUUACGAUAAUUGGUUCAUCAUUUUUAACUUUCCUUCAAUUUGUAUUUGCAUUUGUGUUAUUGAUCUUCAAUACAAAUUGGCUAGGAUUUUGCCUUGGUUUAUGAAACCACGAAGAAAGGGAUUCAAGAAUAGGAUUUUGAAUUUUCUAAUAGUUUUAUUUAUUAUUUUGAUUUUGGAUGGGAACCUCUUCUGUAUACCACUCUUCUCAAAGAAGUGUUAAGCUUCAUUACAAAAUUUCAUUCUAAAGUUGAUUAGUCAUUGUCAUCAACUAUAAAGAUUAUUAAAUUCAAAGCAAAACUUAAUGAAAUGGAUCGACAAUUGUUUGCAUCAUGGGUUUUUUCUAUAGUAGCAAAACACCUUUUCUUUAUAAUUUAUCAAAUAAAUUAUAGACAACAUUUAAUUUAUUAUUAUUAUUAUAAACAUAAAAUGUUUUUUUUUUUUCACCCUUGUGAUUAAGACUCUUGCAUAGCUAUGGACCUUAUUGAAAUGGAAAGUAGAAAAAAACUUACCCUGAUUCAAUAUGUCAUAGUGAAUAUACUUAGUAUGUUUACUAAACUUUGUACUACUACAAUGAAGUGUUAUCAGAAAUGGACAUUAAUGGAAAGACCUACAAAUAAAGUGUUUUUGCGAGUUGAAAAUCUUAAUCGAUUAAUUUAUGGGAGUGAUAUAGCAUGUAUGAAGCAACUUAGGAUGGAUAGACAUAUUUUCAUCAUGUUAUGUUCUAUCCUACUCCUAUUGGUAAAUUAAAGGAUUGAAGAUAUGUUGAUGUAAAAGAAAGGGUUGCAUUAUUUUUACAUAUUCUUGCACAUCAUGUAAAGAAUCAAGUAAUAAAAUUUUGAUUCUCAAGGUUUAGAUCGAGAAUCUAUUAGUAGGCAUUUCAAUGUAGUAUUGAAUGUGGUUAUUCCCCUACAAGGAGUAUUAAUAAAAAGUUAAGAACCGAUCUCUAAAAGCUCCUCAUAUGAGAAAUGGAAAUGGUUUAAGGAAUAUAAAAUAUAAAUUUAGUCUAUGUAGAUUUAAUUAAUUCAUAAUAUAUCAAUACUAAUUCUUUUAUUUGUAAAGAAUUGUCUAAGAGUUUUAGAUGGAACAUACAUUCAAGUGAAUGUACCUGAUAGAGACAAGCCUAAAUAUCGAACAAGGAAGAAUGAAAUUGCAACAAAUGUCAUAGGAGCUUGUUCUUAGGAUAUGUAGUUUAUUUAUAGAUACCUAGGUUUCCCAAGUGCUUCGAGAUGCAGUUACUAGGGAAAAUGGACUAACAGUGCCACAUGGUAACUAUGUGUUUCUUAUAAAUUAUUAAUUUUUUUAAUAUAUGAUUUAUUUUUCAAAAUAUAUUUUGGAAUAUUCAUUUUAGAUUAUUACUAUCUUGUUGAUGAUAACUAUACAAAUGGAGAGAGAUUUCUUGCCCCAUAUAGAGAGAGGAACGCAUGCCAACAACCCAUGAGGAGUUUUUCAACAUAAAACAUUUUGUAGCAAGAAAUGCUAUUGAGAGAUGUUUUGGUGUGCUCAAACUACGUUGGGCUAUACUUAAGAACGCUUGUUUCUAUCCAGUGAAGAUACAAUGUAAACUCAUUCUUGCUUGUUGUCUUCUUCAUAAUCUCAUAAAAAGAGAGAUGUCUAUGGCCCCAUUGGAACAAGAGUUCAAUGUGCAAGACCACCAAGUUGUAGGUGAACCAAUAGCUAUAAUUGAACCAUCGGAUCAAUGGAGUGCUUAGAGAAGAAAUUUAGAAAUUCAAAUGUUUAAUGAAUGGAGGACAUUGUAGUAUGUUGUUUAUUUAAAAAAAAUAAAAAAUCUAUUAGAUGUUUUAGACUUAUCAUUUGUAAAUUGUGAAUGGUUUGUAUGGAUUAUUAUAUGAUGGAUUAGUUUGAAUUGUAUUUGAUAAUGUCUUUCUAUUGGUAAAAUUAAGAUAUAGUUAGAUUGCAUUUAUUAUAAUUGUCUUUAUAUUAUAUUUGUUCUUAAAAUAUAGUAAUAUAAUUUUAUAUUUUUGAAACAUAGGAUGAAUUCUACAUCAAGUGUUCAAACAAGUGUGGAAUCCUAGCAAAGAUGAAAGAUUAGUUAAGUUUUUUGUUGAAUUAUGUGUUUCAUGGAAGUUAAAGUGAGGUAAUGGGUUAAACUAGGAACAUUUUUACAAGUGGAUAAGUAGCUAGAGAAAAUGUUUCUAGAUAGUGGACUUAAAGCAAGUCCACCUAUUGAAUCGUGUGUGAAGACUUUUAAAAGAUGAUUCAAUGUCAUAAUGUCUAUGCUAACCCAUGGUAGCAUGCUUUUAAGGGACAAUGAAAGGAAAAUGAUUUUAUAUGAUCAAGUUACAUUCGAAGGUUGGUUCAACGUAAAUAUUCAAUUCUUCCUAUCUUGUAUUUUCUUUAUUUAACUUUUUUCUGAAUUUUUAUUCCACAACAUGAUGCAUUGGUAUAUUCUUUUGCUUUCAAUAUAUUAUGUAUUUUAUAUGUCUCAAUGUCACUUAUAUUUAUACCAAUUGCAUGAAUGGUGUUUGUUACUAUUGUUUACUAAUUUUUCCUAAGAGAAAUAUUAGUUGCAACUACUUUUAAUAAACUACACAGUGCAGUUUAACUAGUUGUUGUUUUUUCUUUUUCUUUUGUUUUAAAGUUCUAUUCAAUUGUUGAUGUUCCUAGGUUUCUCCCUUGCUUGGAUUGUUUUAUUGUAUUAGAUUGCUAAGGGGAGCCUAAAGUAAGCCAUUAUGCUUAUUUAUUCAUAUCCAUUAAGCAAAUGUUCAAUAAUAAGCAUGCCUAUGAUUAUAACUCUUAAAUAUUCAUUUUUUUCAUGUUGAUCUAUUAGUCAUGAUAAUCAUUAGAGGACGCUUUGUACUCAGGAUAUCUUUUCUUUUGGGUUAUUUAAUUUAUAAGUUUCAACAAAGACAUUUAUCAUUAGAUGAUGAUAUUGAAGACUUUCUUCAAAAUCACAAAAAUAUCCAACCCAUCAAGUACUCAUAUUCACAUUUAAAGAAGGUAACCAAUAAUUUCAAGAGUAAGUUAGGCCAAGGAGGCUUUGUCUCUGUGUACAAAGGAAUACUUCAUGGUGGCCACAUUGUAGUAGUAAAAGUAUUGGUCAUGUCUAAAGCUAAUGGACAAGAUUUUAUCAAUGAAAUCACUACAAUUGGGAGGAUUCACCAUGUUAAUAUAGUACAGCUUGUUGGAUUUUACGUAGAAGGGUCAAAAUGGGCCCUUAUAUAUGAUUUUAUGCCAAAUGGGUCACUUGACAAGUUUAUCUUCCUUAAAGGAGAAAAAAAAUUCCUUUAAGUUGGGACAGAUUAUACAAAAUUGCACUUGGAGUAGGGCAUGAGAUUAAAUACUUACAUCAAGGGUGUGACAUGCAAAUUCUACAUUUCGAUAUCAAACCACACAACAUUCUUUUGGAUGAAGACUUUACACCAAAAGUUUUGGAUUUUGGCCUUGCAAAAUUGUAUUCAACAAAUGAAAGGGUUGUAUCUCUCACUACAGCCCGAAGAACAUUAGGAUACAUUGCUCCAGAGUUGUUUUAUAAAAACAUUGGACAUGUGUCUUAUAAGUUUGAUGUUUAUAGCUUUGGAAUGUUGUUGAUGGAAAUGGUGGGAAAACAAAGACAUUUUAGUCGAUAUGAAGAGAAAUAUCUUAGUGAAUUAUUCUUCCCAUCAUGGAUUUAUGAUCGAAUUGAACAAAGAGAAGAUAUGGGAAUGGGAGCUGUCACAGAGGAUGAAAAGAAAUAUAUAUGGAAGAUGGUUAUAGUUGCAUUGUAGUGUAUGCAAAUGAGGCCCAUGGACCGUCCUUCUAUGAGCAAAGCACUCGACAUGUUGGAAGGUGAUGUUGAACUAUGGCAACUACCUCCUAAACCUACCUUAUAUUCUCAUGAAAUAUCAGCUUUGGAUCGGGAGCACAACCCAAUGGGGGUUUCAAUUUCCUCACGUAAUGCAAGUAUUACAAUUAGCUUAGAUGAGAGGUAACUUAAUAAUGAAUCUACUUGCAAAUGCUCUCUCUCUCUUUCUCCUUCCCUCCCUUUCUCUCUCUCUCUUUAUAUGUAAAUUAAUGUGUUAUCUAAACAAAAUGUAAGCCAAUUCCCUUUGUUUUUAGAUUCUUAUUUAUUUAUAGUUGUAAAGCUUGGAGAGGUUUAGUAAUUUAUUUUGUAAUGCAUCUGUUAGCAGCAACCCUCGCAAUUCAAAAUUCAUAGGCCAAUUUUCAGCAUUAUUUUCUUAGUUGGCAUGUAGGAUUAUUGAUAGACAUGCAUUCUUAUAUGAUCAAAAUUAUUGUACUAGAUUGAUGUAACUCCUAUCUCUAAAUGGGGGUUUUUUAUUUUAUUUUUAUUUUUUAAUGAAACCCUAACAAACAAGUGUCUCACUAUAUGAUCCAACACCUAGUUUAAAAAGAGUUUCAACUCCUUACUUUAAUCAUGUGAGAUGUAGGGGAGGCAGAAACUACUUUUUAUAGGGGAAUAUUAUGGGUAAAUCUGGUACUAGGGUAGAAAAAAUAUUACGUGUUGGAAGGCUUCCAUAUUGAGUAAAAAUAAAAAUAGAAGGUUUUAGUUUUAAACUCAUGCAAGGCUGACAAAAAGUAACAUACCCAUAUAGUUUGAAGUAGUUUCAAUUGUCAUUUAUUUCUCUACAAAUGAUGAUAAUUUUUCCUAUGAAGUAUCUUUGAGAUCAAACCAAUCCAUAAGUUUUCUUAAAGCCACUUAUUAAUUUUAUAGCCUACUCUCUUUGAAUAACAAUCUCUUGUCCAUUUAUUAUAUUUUUUGUUUAGAAAAAAUCUCUUGCACAAACAAUAUUAUCUAAAUAACAACAAUAAACUUACAUUGAUGAAUGAGUACAAUAUGGUCAAUAUCUAGGCUGCACACUCAUAAUAAUAAAAAAUAUAGAUUACUUUUCUUUCACUCUAUUCAUUUUAAGAUGACUGCCAACUCUUGUUGAAGAGAGCUUUUACGCCUUUUGAUGUUUGUUCUUGUUGAAUCUAUGGAAGCAAAAGGGUUGGAUGGCAUAUAUGGUUAAAUUGUCUCAUCCUUCUAAUAGUUGAAUCACAACUUUAAUAGAAGGGCAAUCUAUUAGAUACCAUUGAACACACCAAAGUCCCCUACAAUUGUUAGCUUCUUUGCAAUUGCAGUGUCUCCCUCUUCCUCAAUUCGAAUACACACCUCUUUCCCCUUAUCUAACUGAUUGUAAACCCAUUCUAGGAAGUAUGCUUGGCUAGUCUUCUCCAUUGUGACAUCAAGAUUCUUCCUUCCUCCUACUAUUUCCAACAACAACAAUCCAAAACUAUAAAUAUCUGACUUAUAGGACACAUUUCCAAAGUUCCCUGACAAUACUUCUGGUGCAAUAUAGCUCAUGGUCCCUCUUGCUAUUGUCAUUGAAACUACACUUUGUUUUUUUGGAACAUAAUUUUGCUAGACCAAAAUCAAAGAUUUUUGGAUUAUAGUUUUGAUCAAGCAAAAUAUUAUGAGGUUUGAUAUCGAAAUGAAGAAUUCUUUUUAUCACAACCUUGGUGAAGAUACUCAAUUCCUUUAGCUAUGCUUAAAGCAAUAUUUUGAAGCUUCUCCCAACUAAGUGAGCAGUCCUUGAUAGAUUUUGAAAAUAUAUACUUCUCCAAAGACUCAUUUGGUAAGAACUCAUAAAUUAAAGCUCGUUUAACUCCAUCGGCACAAAAUCCAAUCAAGCAAACCACAUUGACAUGAUGGAUUCUACCCAUUGUUGCCACUUCAUUAAUGAACUCUUCUCCAUUUUCUUUUGAAUUGUUUAGGAUCUUUACUACAACAAGAACGUCACUAGAAAGCUUUCCUUUAUACACAGUUCCAUAUCUACCUUGACCCAAUUUUUCCUUGAAGUGAUUUGUAAUCUUCUUAAUAUCAGCAUACACUACUACAAAAAUAGUUUAUGGUGUCACUAUUUACGGUGUCACUUUUAAAAUAAUGACACCAUAGGGUUUAUAAUUAAUAAAGGUGACACAUCAUAUAAAAAAUCUUCAAUUGAGGUAGUUAGAUGAUAUUAAUUUUAUAUUUAUAGUGUCAUUUUUUGGGAAGUGACAUCAUAUAAAAUAAUUUUUUUUAAGUAUUAUAACUUAAUGAGCCCACUUUUAGAAUUAAUAAUGAUGGAUACUAUAUAAAAAUCCCAUUGUUUCCAUAUCUCACCCACAAUCCAAAAAAUCUCAAUAUAUAAAUCCUAUAUAUAAAAUCAUGAUCUUCUUCAACCUUUUCUCUCACCCAUCCAUAGUCAACACGCUCAAAACCGACAUUCUUCACUUUGUGGACUCCCAGGUAACCCAAAAUCUCUUGGAUCUAUCAUUUUUUUUUCUUUUAUUAAUGUCAUUAUAUUAAUUGUUUCAACAUCUUUGUAUUAUGGUUUUUGUGAAUUGUGUUUUCUUGAGUUGUAGGGAAAAAAAAUUUAGGUUUAAUCUUCUAGCAUGGAAGAAAAAACUAUAGAUUAAUUGAUUUUUUUAAUCUAAACCAAACACAUGAUCAAGUCCUUAAAAAAAAGUGAAAAAUAGGAAAGAAAUGAAUGAUUUUUAAUAUGUAUUUGUGUGAGAAUGACAUGUACAAAUUUUUUUUAAGAUAUACUAUCACAUAAUCUUCAUCCUUUCUAAAAAACGAGAGAGGAAAAAAAAAAUGAUUUUUCUGUCUGUAUCUAAGUGGGAAUGAGAUAUAGAAUUUCGUUGAGAGUAUCCAACCCCAAAAGGACCAAUCUGGGAAGGCAUGUGUGGUAUUGACGGGAGAUGAUAAGAUGGAAAUCAUAACCAUAGCCAUGUUCUCUCUGUGUCUUUCUAUCCUCUUCAAUUAAUUCAUGGGCAUAGAUAUUUUAUUUAGUUUUUAUAUUUAGUUUAUUUAUAGUUUAUUUAGUUUCUAAAAUCCAAUUAGUUAGAUAUUUUAUUUGAUUUUGUUUUUAUAUUUAAGUAUUUGAGUUUUGGAAAGUUUUUAUAUUUUGUUAAUAGAAAUAGAAAUUUUUGUAUUUUUUAUUAUUAGGAAUUUCUAUUUUGUUAAAUUGUAAGUAUCUAUCUCAAUAAGAGAUUAUUAAUAUUCAAAUGAAAGUGGUGAAAGAGAGUAAAUAUUUUAAUGCUCAAUUAUAUUUUAAUGUUAUUUUUUUUUUUUACAUAAGGGUUUAUUUAUGUUUUCAAUUUUGAAGUUCCCUUUCCAUGUCCAGCAACAAAAGUAGUGUCCAACCUUAAAAUGGGCAUGUGUGGUAUUGACGGGAGAUGAUAAGAUGGAAAUCAUAACCAUGGUCAUGUUCUCUCUGUGUCUUUCUAUCAUCUUCAAUUAAUUCAUGGGCAUAGAUAUUUUAUUUAGUUUUUAUAUUUAGUUUAUUUAUAGUUUAUUUAGUUUCUAAAAUCCAAUUAGCUAGAUAUUUUAUUUGAUUUUAUUUUUAUAUUUAAGUAGUUGAGUUUUGGAAAGUUUUUAUAUUUUGUUAAUAGAAAUAGAAAUUUUAUAUUUUUUAUUAUUAGGAAUUUCUAUUUUGUUAAAUUGUAAGUAUCUAUCUCAAUAAGAGAUUAUUAAUAUUCAAAUGAAAGUGAUGAAAGAGAGUAAAUAUUUUAAUGCUCAAUUAUAUUUUAAUGUUAUUUUUUUUUACAUAAGGGUUUAUUUAUGUUUUCAAUUUUGAAGUUCCCUUUCCAAGUCCAGCAACAAAAGUAGUGUCCAACCUUAAAAUGGGCAUGUGUGGUAUUGACAGGAAAUGAUAAGAUGGAAAUCAUAACCAUAGCCAUGUUCUCUUUGUGUCUUUCUAUCCUCUUCAAUUAAUUCAUGGGCAUAGAUAUUUUAUUUAGUUUUUAUAUUUAGUUUAUUUAUAGUUUAUUUAGUUUCUAAAAUCCAAUUAGCUAGAUAUUUUAUUUGAUUUUGUUUUUAUAUUUAAGUAUUUGAGUUUUGGAAAGUUUUUAUAUUUUGUUAAUAGAAAUAGAUAUGAGGACUUAAAGGGUUUAUAUUUAGGUAGUGCUUGAGCCAAGGAAAAUGAUAGUCCACUAUCUUGACCCUAUGCAUCACAAACCAUGUGAGGACUUAAAGGAUAUCGUAAACGUGUAAGUUCUUCCUAUUAUUUUUCAUAGUAUUAUUUUUAAAUAAAAAAAAAAUACAUUCACCUCAAACACAUUUUUUUUAUUAUUUAUAUAUAUUAAAACAUAUAACAUUUACCUAUUUUAAAAAUGUACCCAUUGAACUUACUUACAUAGGGCUCUUCGAAUAUCUGCAAAGAAAACAUCUAAGAGGGAGCCAUCUUAGCAACUAGUGCAGGUGACAUCCAAAAAUUUUUCUUUACACAUUAGCUUAUGCAUUUGCACCAUUUAUAUAUGUGAGUACUAAUGUUAUUUUAUAAUUGAUUGAUAAGUGUCCAAGACAAGAAGGAGGGUUCGAAUGUGGCUACUUUGUUAUGAGAUUCAUUAAAGAGAUAAUUUUUUAUCCUACAAUUAUUGCUUCAAAGGUAUUACUUAUUUAAUGAAUUGUACAUAGUUUUAGGCUUCCAAAUGUUAUGCAUUUUAAUGUUAUUUUCUUAUUUGAUUUCAGUUUGGUAAUAAAAAAAAACAUAUUCUCAAGUAGAAUUCGAUGAAAUUAGAGGAGAAUGGGCUACUUUUGUGCUACAACUAAUCAUGAAUCAUGUUGAUGCAUCAUGAUCACCAUGCAUGGUGAGUCCCUUAGCUACUACAUGAAUUUUUCCAUAGGUAUUGUAUAGUAAUGCUUAUUCUUUGAAUAAUGUUUCUAUUUGAAAAAAAAAAAAAAAUUCUUAGAUUUGUUCAUUUAUGAUAACAUAAAUCCAUGUUUAUUUUCUUCAAUAAAAUUCUCUAAAACUCAUUAAAUUUUGAAAUGCAGGUAUACACUCUUGGGAGGGUGAAAUGGAGAAUAAAAAGAAAGAAGAAGGCAACAAGAUUUUGGAUUUUUAAAUGCAACUCUUAUGUCAUACGUUGUAGGACAUAAGCAUUACUUUAAUUGCAACUGAGAAAUUUAGAUUUUUAGAUGGGACUUCUAUGUCAUUUUAUGGUUAGCCUGUUUUAUGCUUAUGAAAUGGAGGUAUACAUGAAUCUUGGGAUCUUUAACAUUUCUAAAUCAUGUUUUGGUAUGUAUUCACUCUUCUUUUUUAGUUUUGAUGGGUUUGAUAUGUUGGACGUACUAUCCUUUUGUGAACAUUUGAUAUACAAAUAUUAUUAGAUAAUGAAUGUAUUAUGAGUUAUUCCAGAAACAUUAUAGAAAAAUGAGUUAAAUAUAAUAUGAUUGUUAUAUUUAUGGACAAAAUAUAAACAGGUUAAUCUUAUUAAUUCAUAAGCAUUACAAAAAUCAACAACUAAAACCAAUCAUAUAUUCCACAAUAAUUUACAAUGAUGUGAUACCAUAACUCAAAGGUGAUGCAUUUAAUGUAACAUCAUAACUCAAAGAUGAUGUAUUUAAUGUGACACCCUAUUGAUUACUACUCAAAAAGUGCUAUUUGAUAGCCUAUAAUAAAUCCUUUUAAACACUUUUGAGUAGUAGUUUAGGCCUUUUAACUCAAUUGGCAUGUUAAGGACCCUUGAAAGGGAUUUUAAUCACUUUGCACUACUACAAAAAUUGAAAUUAAUGACGCUUUAUUUUAUGACACUUUCUAAAAGCGUCAUUAUUGAGGGUAUACAAUGACGCUUAUAAGAAGUGUCAUAGUUGUAUUAUUUAUCUUGAUACUUAUUAUAAGUGUCAUUAUUUGAUGUCAUCUUUUUCCUUAUAACUGUGUAUAUAAUGACGUUUAUAAGAAGUGUCAUAGUUUUAUUAUUUACCUUGACACUUAUUAUAAGCAUCAUUAUUUGAUGGGUAUGUAAUGACGUUCCUGAGAAGUGUCAUAGUUGUAUUGACUUUUAAAAUUUUUGUUUUUAAGUUAACUUACACAAAUUUUGAUAUUAGAAUUUUAUUCUAUAAAUUAAUUAUGGUAAAUUGACAUUAAUAUUAAUGACAUAAAGUUGCUACAUUAAGGUUUUUUAAAAAAAAUUUGGAUAUAAAUAAAAUAAAAUCCUAAUAAAUUAUUUUUUUAUUGUUUGAUAUUAAUUUUUUUAUAGUUUGUAUCAAUACAAUCUAUUUUCAUAAACUAUUUUUCAUUUUUAUUAAAUUAGAAAUUAUCUUAUAUUUCAUUUAAAAAUAAUUUGUUAAUUUAUUUGUGGACCACAAAAAAGUGGCCUAUUUUGAGCACUUGUUCGAGCCUUGGGCCACAUUUAUUGGGUUUAAUCCUUUUAUUUGAGAAUGUUUUAUAGUUAAUGAAUAUAAAUUUGAAAUUAUUUAACUAAAAUGAAAUAAAUUAAUAUUUAAAUUAAUUUAAUGAUGAUUAGACUCACAAUAAAACUAAAUGCAAUAAGAAUAUUUAUAAAAACUUUCUAAUAUUUAUGGGAAUUAAGCUCAUUCUAUUAAAUUAGUUUUUUUUUAAAAUAUCAAUAUUCAAAUUAAACCGACAUCAACCUAAAAUAUCAAAUAAUUAAACAAUAUAAAUUCAUUAUGAGUUCAAUAUAUAAAAAUUAUUAUUGGAAGAUGAAAUAAAGAAUACUAUUUUAAUUUAUUGAAAAAGGACAUGCAUGGUAUUUUAGAAUUUGUUAAAAAGUCUCCAUUGAAAACCCUAACUUUUGGAAGACAAGAAAGAAGGGAGAGAGCCACCGUUUUUAGUGAGAAAGAAGAGAAGAGAGAAAAAUGCAAGUUUUUCUCAUCAUGCCCAGAUUUCAUCAAAGGUUUGAUCCCACUUCGUCCGUGGUCCGAUCGAGCUGAAAUUUGGAGGAGAGUUUCGUGACUCAUUUAUCUUCAAUCUGAACGGUUAAGAUCGGAUUUGGAGUUUCAGAAAGUCAUUAGAAAGAAAGAGGAGAAGAGAGAAAAACAUAGGUUUUCUCAUCAUGCCCAUAUUUCAUCAAAUGUCCAAUCCCACUUCGUCCGUGGUCCGAUCGAGUUGAAAUUUGAAGGAGAGGUUCGUGGCUCAUGUAUCUUCAAUAUGAACGGUGGAGAUCGGAUUUGGAGUUUUGGACAGUCAUUAGAGAGAAAGAGGAGAAGAGAGAAAAACGUAGGUUUUUCUCAUCAUGCCCAGAUUUCAUCAAAUGUCCGAUCCCGCUUCGUCCGUGGUCCGAUCGAGUUGAAAUUUGAAGGAGAGGUUCAUGGCUCAUGUAUCUUCAAUAUGAACGGCGAAGAUCGGAUUUGGAGUUUCGGACAGUCAUUAGAGAGAAAGAGGAGAAGAGAGAAAAAUAGUGAUUUUUUACAUCAUGCCCAGAUUUCAUCAAAGGUCCGAUGCCGCUUUUUUCAUGGUCUGAUUGAGCUGAAAUUUGGAGGAGAGGUUCAUAAGUCAUUAAUCUUAAAUUUGAACGGUGAAGAUCGGAUUUAGAGUUUUGAAAAGUCGUCUUUCAGCCAAAAACAAAACCUUUAUUUUAUCAAAGAUAACGCUUCCUGAAAGUGUCAUUGUUGCCUAAGACAUACAAUGACAGAGGCGAAGAGGACACUUUAGAGAAGCGUCAUCUGUUACCUUUCUUGACGCUUAAAAAACGUCAUUGUUUCCCAUUUUUCUUGUAGUGUUGUGUAAGUUUUGGUGUUUUUGUUAGUAAUUUGAUCACCAAAGCAAGUCAAGACUGAGGAGAGUUAUGAGGAAUCUUGGGCAAAGCUUAGAAGUCAUUUUCCAAGAGUAAAUUCGGAUUGCAAGGAGAAAAAGUAAAGAGAAUCUGCCAUGAAGCCUAUUCUUGAUGACAGUCGUAGCAGCCACUUUUGGAGCACUUUCUGAAGUCCAAAUGAUGCAUGCUAUAUACCAUUUCAAAGCUCAGGAAGUCAAUAAUCCAAUGCUUCAAACGGUGUGCAAUGCGGAGUUGAAACGAAGAAGUUGCAGCCAUUACAAGCCAAUCACUCCGAGCUCAAGGAAGCAUUUUGCAAAGUGUUGCGAAAUCACCCUUUUGUUGCAAAGUGAUUUCGCAGCCUUUUUGAACAGUGUGAUGUUUCUCCUUCUGAUGAUGCCCAAUUUAUACCGCGAGAAGGAAGCUGAGAACCUCAAGGUGGAAGCCAACUUCGCAGCCCUGUGAAGAUAGCUUGGUGUUGCGAAAUUAUUUCGCAGCCCUCUUGAGUGUCUGCGAAAUCUCGCAGACACCAUUUUUCUCCUGCGAAAUGGUUCCUGAAGCCUCCCGAUAUUUGCUACCGACAUUGGGAGAUAUUUUCCAUUAGAUUUUUGUUGUCUAAAUCCCAAAAUACUCCCUGUAAGCCACCAAUUACAUGAUUCCUUAGUUUUUAAGUUAGUAAAAAGAGUGAAUAUCUAUGUAAUAAUUAGUUUUAUAUUAUGUACAUAUAUAUACCUCUCGGGAGCCUGUUCUCAGAGAGGAGUUCCUUCUGAAAAAGUUUGGGUAAGCAAGUAAAGUUUAUUUCUUUCUACUGCCUUACCUUCUCACUUUGUAUUUUCAUUUUCUUACUAAGUUAUGAACUCUCUGAGGAGUUUUCCCCAGAGAAUGAGUAACUAAACCUCUAAUUCCUUGGAGCUAAGGUUGUCGGGGAAGGUUCCAAGUGCAAGAAUGCAAAGCUUUGUGGUUUUAGCUAUUAAUGAAGAGAAAGUGAAAUCCUUUAAUGAUUUCUAUGUUUUUAGUUAACUUAAAACACCUUAGAGUCACCUGGGCCAACACUUGGUAAGGCAAGCGAUUUCCAACCAUGGAAAUGCACUAGUUUACCCCUUGCGAGCCUCUGGGAGGUGACUUCAAGGUAGGAUUUUCUAGAAUAGCCAACACUUGGUAAGCUUUUGGACUCCAAGGAGACAUCCAUUAGUUAUCUCUUGCGAGCUUUUGACGGGUAAUCCAAGGUUAAAGAUCACCUUGUAUGGUUGAGGCUUAGUGAGAGGCUUAAACCAUUGCAAGUUGCAUCAGUGAGAGAAUUAAAGUGAAAUCUAAUUGAAGGAGUCUUUGUACAACACCGGUUAGAGAUUUGACUAUAUGUUGAAUCUCUAACACGAGGAAAUGAACCAUCUGACCGGAGCUAUGUCUUUUGCAUGAGGAACUACCCCAGUGAACCUAACUCUCCAGGGAAUGCUUUUCUUCCUAAAUUAUUCCAAACUUCUGUUAUGUUAGUUAGUUUAAGUCUAAACCUUUACCAAUCAAAGUUUGUGUUUUACUUCUUAAGCUAACCAUGAAAUGAAACAAAACCAAUUCACUUGGAAUUGGUAUCAUUGAGAGCUUGUUAAUCUUUCCCAAUGGACGAUCCUAGAGCCACUAUACUAUAGUAGCUUUUUCUUUGCUACCCUAGUAUAUGGUGUUAUAGGUUAUAAAUUUUGUUGAUUACUCCCUCAAUCAAGGAGCACCAACUGGACACAAAUCAGCUGAGACACCAAUUGGGCACGAAUCACCUAUCAUCACUAGAAAUAUAUGGUGUCACUUCUGAAUGGGUCACCAUUUAUCUACUUUGGUGUCACUUCCAAAUACGUCACCAAUUGGUACCCUCUAUGGUGUCAGUGGAGAAGGUGACGCUAUGUUGUAGUGACACCUUAUGUUUAUGGUGACUCGUUAUAAAUGUCACCAUAUACCUUUUUCCUUGUAGUGAUAGGAGUAUCUUGAGAGCUUGAGAGCUUUAUAAUCUUCUAAAAAAUUGUUCUACCUUCUUUGUACUCUCUCUUUUUAAUUUACCUGAGCUGUACACAUAAUAGAGUGUGAUGACUACAAGCACCAGAAGACAAAAACUGAGGAUUACCGCUGCAUGUGAACACAGGAAAAAAAAAAUCUAAAUAAAUGCAAAAAGAGUCCAAUAAUAAUCUUUUCUCUCUUCCUAAUCCUUAUCAAAAUGGAAGUAUGAGUGAGUAGAAAGUCACCUGUAACCAGUUUGUGUUUUGAUACACCUGAAAGGAAAAUAAUACAAUUAUUGGAUUGUUAAGCUUGGGAAGCCCCUCUCAUCACUACUAUGUGUGUCAUAGUGAUCGCCAUGGAUCUACCACACUGGUUCAAUCCUAAGUUACGAAAAUAAUAAUAAAAAUAAGAGCUUAAGAAUAGGUAUUCUUGCUUCACAUUUUCCUCAAUAAUGAUCACCUUAUCAAACAUAAAAUGCAAAGUCAAAGAAAAGAGAAGAAAAAAAUAUUUUAUUUAUAAUUAUAUUUUCCUUCCCUCUUCUGUUAUUACUUUCAAGAUCCAAUUCCUAUAUAAUUUAUCUACAACAAACGAAACCCCCUAAAGUAAGUAGUAUGAUCAGGAAAUAGCACAGAGGAAGCAGAUCUAUUAUAGAGGGAUGAAUUCAUAUAGUACCUUUUGCUCGCUUAUCAAUACAUUCAGUUUUAGGUUUUUUGCCAACAUUACUCUUCGGUCUGCAUUGCUUACCUUCUCUUUCGCAGUUUCCACAUAUCAUUUCUGACCAUGUUAAAGAAAAAUAAUUUUCCCCUUUAACUAUAUCUUGUGGAGGGAUAACAUUGUAAAUCUUGUGGCAAGAGGAUAGGUCCAAGCGUUCAAGAUUAUGGUAAGAACCAACAACAUAGUCUGGGUUGCUGAGGAGAACAGUGCAAGGGAUGGACAAAAAAUAAUUUGAGUUGUCUGUUUUAUUUGAGGAACAAUUGAAGAAGGUGUAAUCAACUAGGCAGUUGGAAAUUGUAAGUUUGAAAUGGAAGGGAGAUGCAGACAGUAAGGUUUUGAAGCUGUUUUUGAAGGCAAAAAUCUGGUUCAUGGACGAUAAUCUCCUGAGAGUUGUAAUUUAUCUUCUUUACUGAGAGGCUUACGGAUGGCAGCUCUAGGAUGGUCAGCUUCUUUUCUAUACAAGAUAUCUCAAACCCAGGAUAGCCACAACGAUAUGGCUGGUCUUUUAGCUGGAAGGGGAACCUAAUAACUGGGCCAUGGUCGCUGCAUCUUGAUACCUUGCACUCAUCUUGGCUCGCUCCAAUCUCUACAAACCAUCUCAUAAACAAGAACAGAAAGAGAUGGCCAUUUUUAAGCAAUUGCUCAUCCCCAUAGCUUUUGGUCUAUUCCUCCAGCCUUCCGUAGUUUGGACUUCCAUUCCUUAUUCAAAGUAGAGUUUAAUUAUAUUCUAAUGUUGACUUGGUCAUAAGCAAUUGCAAAUGCUCUCUCUCUCUCUCUCUCUCUCUCUCUCUCUCUCUCUCUAUAUAUAUAUAUAUAUAUAUAUAUAUAUAUAUAUAUAUAUGCAAAUUAAUGUGCCAUCCAAACAACAUGUAGCAACCCUCACAAUUCAAAAUUUAUAGGCCAAUUUUCAGCAUUUCUUCUUAGUUGACAUGUAGGAUGAUUGAUAGGAAUGCAUUUUCAUAUGAUGAAAAUCACAAUGCUAAAUUGAUGUAACUUCUACCUCUAAAUAGGGUUGUUUAUUUAAGUUUUAUUUUUGAAUGAAAUGAAUAUGAAAUACCCUGACAAAGGGUUGUCUCAUUAAAUGAUCCAACACCUAGUUUAAAAAGAGUUCCAGAUCCUUUAACCAUGUGAGAUGUAGGAGAGGCAGAAACUACGUUUUAUAGGGGAAUAUUAUGGGUAAAUCUGGUACUGGGGUGGUAAAAAUAUUACGUGUUGGAAGGCUGCCAUAUUGUUCUUAGUCAAUGAGAAUGGUGGUGCUGGAAUAGCAAGAGGAUAGGAUUUAUGUUUGUGUAUUGCAAAAGCUUAGGUUAAGAAAAGAGAAAAAAAUGUCACUUUUCCUUUCCGACAUAUUGUCUUAGAAAAAAUAUUAUGUUAAUAACAAAUCCUUUUAAAACUGAACAAGACUAAUCAAGUAAAAAUAAAAAUAUACGGUUUUAGUUCGAAAUUCAUGCAAGGCUUGACAAAAAGUAACAUACUCGAAUGUUAUCAGUUUCAAUACGUAGACCAAAUGAUACAAUGCAAGCAAAAGUUCCUUGAUUCAUGGAGAUAUAGAAUAACAUAUAAGUUAUCAUGCUUGCAUAUCCACCAUUUAAGUCUCCAAUUGUCAUUUAUUUCUUUACAAAUUGUGAUAAUUUUUCCUAUGAAGUAUCUUCGAUAUCAAGACAAUCCAUAAGUUCCCUUUAAAGCCACUUAUUAAUUCUCCUGUCCAUUUAUUAUAUUUUUGUUUAAAAAAAAAAUCUCUCUCACAAAGAAUAUUAUCUAAAUAGCAACAAUAACCUAACAUUGAUGAAUGAGUACAACAUGGUCCAUAUCUAGGUUGCACGCUCAUAAUAAUAAAAAGGAUAAAUUAGUUUUCACUCUAUUAAUUCUGAGAUGACUUAGAGGAAAAUUAUUUUCUUGCAAAAAAUGUAAGGACUUCCCCCUGUGACUACAUGGCAGACUACCUUGGUUCCACGUGGCAUCCUUCUAUUUCUGUUCAGACAAACAUAACCAGAUCCGAAUAUCCAAUCCGAAUUAGAAGUACCAAUGGCUAGUUACACGGAGUUCCUCUGAAACUACGCAAUACAUUCCAAGUAGGUUUCCUAACCCACUCCCACAAGCAAUCAUUCUCUUUGAGUUAGAAGCACGCUCGAUGGGACAUCACCCUGUAUCCUCAGGUGGCCUGCCACACGCUGCACCAUACCGCCUGCUAGUUGAGGUGACAGGUGAACCAUCAGGUUGCCCCCUUUAGCGAUCCCUAUCAGCCCCUAAAGGGAUAUGAUUGCUCUGUCACCCACUGUGUUGUCAUCAUGACUACGAAAGUCAAGAAGUCAUCUCAACACAGAGGUGACACUGUUUCAGACCUGAUAAAAGCUCUCCUCCAGCUCGACCCCAAGGUACGCGCACGCACGCACACAUGAGGGAGGCUCCUUCUUAGCUUCUAAAAGGGGGCAACCUCUAAAAUUGGCUUUAAUCAUCUGACUUGAGCUUCGGAGGGUAUGUCCGGACAACCUAUUCUGACAUCUUUUGCAGGAAAAAAAGAGAAGCAUUACUUCCAGUUGACUUGGCUUCAACAUUGACGUCGUCUGUGGGUUCGGCCAUCACUGCCCCCACAGCUUCCAUUGCUCCUAGGGUCGUGAUCAACUAUAUCCACGAUGGACCCCUCAAUAAAGAAUAUAGCUUUAAACGAAAGAGACAAAGUCUGCUUUGAGCCACUUCUGUAUGGGAGUAGGUUAGCUUCAUCCAACCUAGAUUGACCAACAGGAGUGCUCACCCAAUAGAUGGGGUAAUCACCUUUCCCCUAGUAGACCCCAACCGAAUAUUGCAACCGCACCGAGAUGUCCUUAUCCUGAUGCUAGGAAUCAGUGACUUCGAUGUAAGGUGAAUCUUGGUCGAUCUAGGUAGCUCCCCAGACCUCUUACAGGUAUCUGUGAUCAAACAAAUGGGAUUUAAGCCCUCAAAUUUGGAAAAUCCUAGGUGGAUAUUGUCAUGAUUCAAUGGGGCUUCUACAACGUCCUUAGGAGACAUCGUGUUACCAGUCCAAGUCGGCCCUGUUAUCCUUAAUGUGCAGUUCUCAGUGGUAGCGAACCUAUCCCCAUUCAACGCCAUAUUAGGACGCGCCUACUUACAUGGCAUGAAAGUCACCCCUUCUACAUAUCAUCAGAUGGUGAGUUAUCUCACCGAAGACAGGUAGAACAAUCUCUAUGGUAACUAGCUAGCAGCCCGGUAGUGCUACCAAGUGGCAUGGGAGGCCGAACCUAAUAGUGAUCACAAACCUCCCCCCGAACAAGCAAGCGUGCCCGAUCAAUAGUAAUUACAGUACCCGACAAAUAAGGAUCCCUCGGUAGUCAAUCCCUUGCAGACCAUUUAGAUCUCAAAGAAAGAUGGCCACUUUACUUACUCCAGUUUCCUCUUAGAACUAAACAAGGCACGGUGCCUCGAAGGGACGCUUCAACAAAACAAAGACGUUUUCGCAUGGACCCACUUUGACAUUCCUGAGAUUCACCCGUUGAUUGCCUCCCACCAACUUAACAUCCUGCCAUCAUCAAGACGUAUCCGCCAGAAGGUCCGAUGGUUUCACCCGGAUAGGCAAAGAAUCAUUCAAGAUGAGAUAGACAAGUUACUAGCGACUGAAUUUAUUAAGGAGGUUGAGUAUCCAGACUGGUUGGCAAACGUGGUGGUAGUCCCCAAAAAGGGAGGGAAAUGGUGAGUCUGCGUUGAUUACACUAACCUCAACUACGCAUGCCCCAAAGACAGCUUUCCCCUACCAUGGAUAGACCAAAUAGUGGACUCCACCGUCGAACACGGAAUGCUCUCUUUCCUAGAUGCCUUUUCCGGGUACCAUCAAAUUCCCAUGUCCCCAGCAGAUGAAGAAAAAACUGUCUUCAUAACACCACACAAACUUUAUUGCUACAAGGUCAUGCCAUUUGGACUCAAAAACGCUGGAGCCACUUACCAAAGGUUGAUGACUAAAAUCUUCAAGCCUCUAAUCGGGCACAUAGUGGAGGUAUACAUUGAUGACAUCAUGGUUAAAAACAAAACCACAGACGAACAUGACUAGCACUUAGAAGAAGUUUUUCACUUAUUGAGAAAGUACGACAUGAAGCUCAAUCCGUCUAAAUGCGCCUUUAGGGUAAGUGCAGGCAAGUUCUUAGGGUUUAUGGUCACUCAAAGGGGGAUAGAAGUCAACCCAAAUCAAAUUAAAUUUGUCAUGGAAACAUCCGCCCCUAGCAGCAAGAAGGAGUUGCAGCGUCUCACUGGCAGAUUCAUUGCACUAGGGCGCUUCAUAGCCUGGUUCACGAACAAACUAAGGCCCUUCUUCUUGGUGCUAAAGGGUGCCAGCGCGACAAGAUGGACAGAAGACUAUCAGUCUGCAUUUGAAGAAAUCAAGCAUUAUCUCACACAACCACCCAUUUUGAGUAGCCCUCAGCCCGACGAACGGUUAUACAUGUACUUAGUAGUUUCCAACUGGGUGAUCAAUGUUGUUUUAUUUGGUUGCAUAUUAGAUAAAGAGCAAAGGCUCGUCUACUACAUCAGCAAAGCAAUGGCUGACAUGGAAACCAUAUGCUCAAAGAUGGAGCAAACGGCCUUAGCCUUGAGAAGCGCCGCUCAGAAACUCCACUCCUAUUUCCAAGCCCAUCCAAUAGUCGUGCUUACCAACCAGCCCCUCAAAAGUAUUUUGCACAAGCCUGAUAUAUCAGGAAUAAUGUUGAAGUGGGCCAUUUUGAGUGAUUACGGAAUCGAAUAUUAACCCAAGUUGUCCAUAAAAGGACAAGUCAUGGUUGAUUUCAUAGUGGAGGUUCCCCAGGAACCCUCUCGACUCAAAGAGCCAGGCAAAAAUGGAUGGUUGACCUCACAUGUCGAUGGAGCCUUCUGAUCCUCGGGGUUUAGAGUAGGCCUCCUUUUACGAUCGUCGACUGGGGAGCAGCUGGAGUAGGCUAUCCGGCUUGGGUUUCCAACAUCUAAUAAUGAGGUCGAAUACGAAGCCAUCCUGUCCGGAUUGAACCUCGCACUUGCAUUUUCCGUUUCUAAGCUCAAACUCUAUAAUGACUUUCAACUCAUUGUUGGGCAUAUCCAAGGGGAGUACGAAGCCAAAGACAAACGCAUGUCUUAGUACUUAACUAAAGUAUGAGAUACCCUAAAUCAGCUAAACAAAUGAGCUAUCAAGAGGAUUCCCAACACAGAAAACAUACAAGUCAAUGCCUUGGCUAGAAUAGCUGUUACACUACCUGUGAAAGAGGCAAUAUUGUUGCCCAUCUACCUCUAGCCCACCUCCUCAAUCGCAGUCACACUUGUCUACAGCGCUAGGGAAGAAAGCAUGGAGUGGACACACGAAAUUGAGAACUACCUCAGGACAUGAUACUUGCCAAAAGAUAGCAAACAUGCACAUAGGGUCCGGAUGCAAGCUGCCUGUUUGACCUUGAUCAGAGACUGCCUCUACAGGCAAUCCUUUGAGGGCCCGUACCUCAGGUGCUUAGACAGUACAAAAGCUCAAAAUGUGUUAGUAGAACUGCAUGAAGGCAUGUGCGGCAAUCACACAGGAGGUCGAUCCCUAACGCACCGCGCCUACUCGCAAGGAUAUUAUUGGCCCACCAUGAAGCAAGACACGAAAGCAUAUGUCGAGAAAUAUGGCAGGUGCCAAAGACAUGCACCCAUUCCACGCAUGCCAUCUGAAGUUCUCAACCCAAUAACGAACCCUUGGCCAUUCGUGCAGCGGUAGAUGGACAUAGUAGGGCCUCUACUCAUUGUGGACGCUGUAGACCCUCAAUUUUGUCUCUUUAACACAUGUCUUUAAGUUCGUCUUCAGUGCUCCACAGUAGUUCCUUGGUGGCCCAGUACUACUCACCACUCACCUUUUUCUGAGUCACCUUGGAGACUUUGGUUGAGGGAUUAUUUGAUCCCUUAUUGUGACCCUUGGCAGCCCUAAUUUAGACUUAGGCUUUUCUUGUUUUUUUAGGAUAGCCUUUAGAUACACUUGGCCCAUUAGGCACCACCCUAGUCCGCUUAGUCUCAUCAUAGCCCGUUUAGUACACUUGGCCCAUUUGGAUAUUUUUAGUGUGACUUAUAUGACUUGCAUGNNNNNNNNNNNNNNNNNNNNNNNNNNNNNNNNNNNNNNNNNNNNNNNNNNNNNNNNNNNNNNNNNNNNNNNNNNNNNNNNNNNNNNNNNNNNNNNNNNNNNNNNNNNNNNNNNNNNNNNNNNNNNNNNNNNNNNNNNNNNNNNNNNNNNNNNNNNNNNNNNNNNNNNNNNNNNNNNNNNNNNNNNNNNNNNNNNNNNNNNNNNNNNNNNNNNNNNNNNNNNNNNNNNNNNNNNNNNNNNNNNNNNNNNNNNNNNNNNNNNNNNNNNNNNNNNNNNNNNNNNNNNNNNNNNNNNNNNNNNNNNNNNNNNNNNNNNNNNNNNNNNNNNNNNNNNNNNNNNNNNNNNNNNNNNNNNNNNNNNNNNNNNNNNNNNNNNNNNNNNNNNNNNNNNNNNNNNNNNNNNNNNNNNNNNNNNNNNNNNNNNNNNNNNNNNNNNNNNNNNNNNNNNNNNNNNNNNNNNNNNNNNNNNNNNNNNNNNNNNNNNNNNNNNNNNNNNNNNNNNNNNNNNNNNNNNNNNNNNNNNNNNNNNNNNNNNNNNNNNNNNNNNNNNNNNNNNNNNNNNNNNNNNNNNNNNNNNNNNNNNNNNNNNNNNNNNNNNNNNNNNNNNNNNNNNNNNNNNNNNNNNNNNNNNNNNNNNNNNNNNNNNNNNNNNNNNNNNNNNNNNNNNNNNNNNNNNNNNNNNNNNNNNNNNNNNNNNNNNNNNNNNNNNNNNNNNNNNNNNNNNNNNNNNNNNNNNNNNNNNNNNNNNNNNNNNNNNNNNNNNNNNNNNNNNNNNNNNNNNNNNNNNNNNNNNNNNNNNNNNNNNNNNNNNNNNNNNNNNNNNNNNNNNNNNNNNNNNNNNNNNNNNNNNNNNNNNNNNNNNNNNNNNNNNNNNNNNNNNNNNNNNNNNNNNNNNNNNNNNNNNNNNNNNNNNNNNNNNNNNNNNNNNNNNNNNNNNNNNNNNNNNNNNNNNNNNNNNNNNNNNNNNNNNNNNNNNNNNNNNNNNNNNNNNNNNNNNNNNNNNNNNNNNNNNNNNNNNNNNNNNNNNNNNNNNNNNNNNNNNNNNNNNNNNNNNNNNNNNNNNNNNNNNNNNNNNNNNNNNNNNNNNNNNNNNNNNNNNNNNNNNNNNNNNNNNNNNNNNNNNNNNNNNNNNNNNNNNNNNNNNNNNNNNNNNNNNNNNNNNNNNNNNNNNNNNNNNNNNNNNNNNNNNNNNNNNNNNNNNNNNNNNNNNNNNNNNNNNNNNNNNNNNNNNNNNNNNNNNNNNNNNNNNNNNNNNNNNNNNNNNNNNNNNNNNNNNNNNNNNNNNNNNNNNNNNNNNNNNNNNNNNNNNNNNNNNNNNNNNNNNNNNNNNNNNNNNNNNNNNNNNNNNNNNNNNNNNNNNNNNNNNNNNNNNNNNNNNNNNNNNNNNNNNNNNNNNNNNNNNNNNNNNNNNNNNNNNNNNNNNNNNNNNNNNNNNNNNNNNNNNNNNNNNNNNNNNNNNNNNNNNNNNNNNNNNNNNNNNNNNNNNNNNNNNNNNNNNNNNNNNNNNNNNNNNNNNNNNNNNNNNNNNNNNNNNNNNNNNNNNNNNNNNNNNNNNNNNNNNNNNNNNNNNNNNNNNNNNNNNNNNNNNNNNNNNNNNNNNNNNNNNNNNNNNNNNNNNNNNNNNNNNNNNNNNNNNNNNNNNNNNNNNNNNNNNNNNNNNNNNNNNNNNNNNNNNNNNNNNNNNNNNNNNNNNNNNNNNNNNNNNNNNNNNNNNNNNNNNNNNNNNNNNNNNNNNNNNNNNNNNNNNNNNNNNNNNNNNNNNNNNNNNNNNNNNNNNNNNNNNNNNNNNNNNNNNNNNNNNNNNNNNNNNNNNNNNNNNNNNNNNNNNNNNNNNNNNNNNNNNNNNNNNNNNNNNNNNNNNNNNNNNNNNNNNNNNNNNNNNNNNNNNNNNNNNNNNNNNNNNNNNNNNNNNNNNNNNNNNNNNNNNNNNNNNNNNNNNNNNNNNNNNNNNNNNNNNNNNAGUUUGGUAUUCUGAAAUUAGUACCCGAUUUUCUGGUGAUUCAAGUUCUUUAUUUGACUUCUCCUUUAUAGAGAAAACUCCUAGUGGCAUUGACCAGCCAGGAACUCACCAUAUGCAACAUCAGCAAGCUCAACAGCUCAUGAUUGUUCUACCAAAUUGUUGGAAAAGGGGUCCAUUUCGACAAGUGGCACAGUUUUCAUUAGUGCAUUAUUGAGGGAUGGAUAAAGAUGAUCAGCCUAAGGCCAAGCCAGAUGAUUGGGAAGAUGCAGCUGACUUCUCUACACCGAAAUGGGGAAGCUCUCACAACUAAAGCAACAAUUUUCCUAUGCAACGCCCCACUUCAAGACAUUAUUUUCAGAUUCAUGGAGAGGAAAGAUGAGGACUCGUGGCAAUGGUCUGAAUUUCCCAGAUUUGGAUGGAACGAAGCUCGCGAGGUGACAUCAGGGAAAUCUUCAAUUUGCCCUUGAUGGACAAACAGCAAACACAUACAGACUUUGUUUGUUUGUCCAGCUAAGAGACCAAUUGAUGUAGAAUUCUGGAACUGUUAUGGAAUUAGUAGAGCUUUUAAUGGGGAUACAGAUCUCCUUCCCGUUUCUUUUAAGGGAGUCUUUGUCAAACAGGACAAUUCUAACUCACCUUGAGGCAUGCUUCAAUACAGAGAAUUUCGAAAGACAGAAGAAUAAACUACAGGAAAGGUUCAAUUGUCCAGGCACUAAAGUUGUGAGAGAUGGCCAAAGUAUUCGGUUAUACUACCAGUGAGUCUAUUGCUAUGCGGAUCCAAGGAAGUCGGGUAAAGGCUAAUAAGGUUAAUCAGUUCUGAGAAAGAAGAAAUUGAACUAGACAAAUGAUUGAUGCUUAGAUCCAGAUCAGAAAGGCUUUGUAGCAUGCCGAUUGAAACGAGCGGUGGGAUCUAGGUUGAUUUAGAGAUUGAAGCAGAAUGGUCCAUCAAACACCUUUUUUUUUAAUAACUAGCAUAUUGCAAAGCUAUCAACAAGGGUCUUUUCAUGCAAUUAUCAACAGCUGAAUCAUUAGCACCUUCAUGCUUCCAAACUCUACUUCUAGCAUGGCCAUCUUGACGCACACCUCUUCCUCCAUUUUCUUCAUUGAGAAUUUACAGUUUUGAAUUGAUCUUUCAAACCCUUUUUCAACUGAAUAAACUUAGCUUUGAAGAUUCAUCAAAAUAACUUUAGUUUUCUUUAAAAGUUCCUUAGGAGUUUCUAGGUUUAAAAUCCAGAUUUCAACAAAUCUUUUGCUGUCAUUUUCCUUCCGGCAUGCGUUUUCACUAUUUUAUUUGAUUUUUAGCUAUUUUAAUGAUUUUCUCGAUUUUCAACAAGCAUGAAUAAACUUCAUAAUUCCAAAUCAUGGAAUUUAUGGAAUCAACUCAUGCGAAAUUAAUUAGGGCUUUGGUGGGGGCCCGACAUUCAUAACACUCACUUUAAUACUGUUUGCUUGAUAUGAUGAUUUUUGAUUAUUCUUGAUGAAAUACUUGAAUUCACUUUAUAUCUAUUGUUGAGAUACCCUUGUUCCCAUAGACGCGUGGAUGCCCGCUAUCCAGGUACACUCUUCUUGCCCUCAAACUCUAAAAUUCUAUGAAUGUGUAUGUUAUCAUGAGCCAUGUCCAUGUUUGAUGCCAUAAUUGAUUGCCUUGAUGCUUGUUUGAUCAUGUUUCAUAAAAAUACAUAUUAUGCGUCGUAUUUUCAAACUAACCUUUGAUGUCUUGUGAUAGCGCUUAAGAAGCAGUCUAGGUAUGUACCCUAAAUCUUCUUCAUGUUUGUGAUUGGUUUUCCUGCUAAGCAUGCUUUUUUUCGAAAUCACCUAGCCUACUUAGGUAUCCAUGAUUAAUCGGUUAAUUGCUAUAUUUCCCUCAACUUAGUCAGUAGAGACCUCUUUAGGGCUUAGAGGGGUGCUACCUCCUAGGGGUACCUUCCCAAUAAGUAACCUGAUCCCCGGACUUAGACUCAGGUUUCCCAAAGACAUGCUUUUUCUAAAACUAUGGAGUCACUUUUUAGGGUUUUUCUUUCUUGUUUUAUUUUCCCUUUAAAAUAAAAAUAAAAUAGGUGGCGACUCCAACUUUUUCUAAAAUUAAUUUUUCACAAAUAAUAAAAAGCGAGUCUCGCCGAUCGAGUGGGGACGCAAGUGAAAAAUGCGGGUCCACAAAUUGGCGACUCCACUGGGGAUUUUGAGGAUCAAGCUUGAACACUAGUUAAGGAAAAUGUGGCGUUUAAUUGGUCGAUUAAUGGGUACCUCUUUUUUUAGGCAAGGUGAUUCGAUUUGCUUGCUUGUUUGGUUUGCUAUCUUAACAUGUUUGAUUGCCUUGGAUGAUCACUUGAUUGUUUUGCUCACUUUAGCAUGAUUCACUAUCACAUAUGUUAGAUUGGACUUUGUUUGUUUGAUAUUUAUUCGCUUCGCAUGACUGUUUGAAUGAUCACUUGAUUGUUUUGCUCACUUUAGCAUGAUUCACUCUCACAUAUGCUAGGUAGGACUUUGAUUGUUUGAUACAUAUCCGCUUCGCAUGACUGUUUGUUGCAUGACAACCCUUUUCUCUUGCAUGAUUGUAUGAUUGCUUGUCUUUGUUCACUCUCUCACUUUAGAUCUUAGGUUUUUCGGAUGCACCCACAUCCUUCAUUGUGCACUUUAGAUUAUCCUGAGUGUUGAGAGAUGGGAGAGCCUUCACCAUUAAGAAACCCCCCUGGGAACGCGAGGAAGUACAUGUGUGGAGGUGAUGACCACCUUGCAUGGAAGCACCCCGUCUCCUUGGAGGAGUGCAGAGGGUUGCGUACCGCCGGAGGGUACGAUCGCUUCUGCUAGGGAUCCUUUAACCCACCCAUCUUACCUUACAGAGCCACCUCAACCUUGUAGGUUAGCCUAGACCCAAUUAAGAUUUCAUUCCUACACGUGGGUGCAUUUGUGGACCUUCAGAGCUGCCUUGGUCACAAUUGGAUUCGGUUAUCCCUUCCUUAGUCUCCUUUUGGUGUAAUCAGAGGAGGGUAUCAGAUUGAGUACAUUUGGACUAUUUUCUUGCACACUUAUCAGCUGAUUCAUACAGAUUCGCUUUUGUACCGCACCUUAUCCAGUGUUUCCAUAUUUGUAGGAGAGUUUAUCGUGACCAGUCUGGACUCACCUUUGUGGAUUAGAGUUGGAGGCAGAUUGACCAGAGUAUCAGACCAGUUAGACCAGAGAUCAGAUCAGGGGGAUAUGGAUUCUCAGAUAGUUACCGUUGACCAGUUUGCUGCGGCCAUGGCUUCGAUCCAGGAGGCUAUAGCUAGCCUUGGCCAGAGGAUAGAUGGGCAGCAGGCCCGACAGGUCCCAGUUCAGGAGGAUAUCCAGUUUGAUACCACAGUACCACCACCACCUCCGCAUAGUCAGCCAGCACCACAAACUAUACCUUUUACUCUGCAUAGUCAGACUGAGGUUGCACCACCUCCUGUCGUAGUGCCUACUCCGAUCUCAGAGGACCCACAUACUCGUAUGGAUAAACUUGAGCAGAAGUUGAGACAGAUGAGGACUUCAGAGGGAGCUAUUACUUGGGAGGAUUUUGAUGGAGCACCAGUGGCCAGUCUACCGGCCAAGUUCAGGAUGCCUGAGAUUGAGAGAUACACAGGCAUGGGAUGCCCUCGCAUCCAUUUGAGACUCUAUAGUACUGUUAUGAGGGCCCAUGGGCUGGAUGAUGCCCAGAUGGUUAUGCUCUUCCCUAUGUCAUUGAGUGGAGCUGCACAGCGUUGGUUCGCUUCAUUGGAGGUAUCACGUCGUAGGACUUGGGAUGACUUAGCCCAGGAGUUUUUGAGACAGUUUACAUUUAACACUGUCAUUGAUGUUUCGAGGAGAGAGUUAGAGGCUUUGAGACAGAGGCCAGAGGAGUCAGUCACUUCAUUUAUCUCCCGCUGGAGAGAGAAGAUUUCACAGAUUAUUGAUCGUCCUUCCGAGAAGGAUCAGAUUAGCAUGAUCAUGAGGAGCUUGCAGCCUAGAUUUGCUAGACACUUGAUGGGAUUUCCUCAUACGGAUUUCAGAUCUUUGGUACAGGCUUUGUAUGGUAUAGAGGAGGGCAUUGCUAGAGGAUUAUGGUUUGAGUCUUCCCCUACUGAUUCUAAGGGGAAGAGGCCUUUAGGAGGACAGAGAUCAGGAGAUGUUGGUGCUAUCAGUUCAGUAGGGAUGAGACCUUCUAGACGCUAUCAGACAGUUGGGCAGACUCUUGGGUACUACUAUCCACCUUCACCUCAUGCGCAUUACAGACCACCUGCUCCUUCCAGACCCAUGACUCCUACUUAUCUGCAUUCGGACUCACAACCUGUUUUUGCUGCACACGUCGCAGAGAGGCCUCUUGCCCCAUAUACUCGACCCCGAGCUCCACAGACCACUACUUAUGUGCAGAGGCCACCACGUCAGUUUGCUCAGUUGGGUAUGCCUUUGAGUCGAGCUUUUCAGAAGCUCACAGAGGGUGGAUUACUGAUUCCAUUAGCAUCCAGGCCUUUACCCCAACCCAUACCACCUCGCUUCAGGAUGGACUUACAUUGUUCCUACCAUCAGGGACCAGGGCAUGACACGGACCAUUGCACUGCUUUGAGACAUGCUAUUCAGGACUUGAUAGACCAGGGUUUGGUCAACUUGGGGCAGCCAAGUGUGACCACUAACCCUCUUCCUGCUCAUUCUACACACGCAGUACAUCCAUCUUUAGGAGAUAUUCAUCACAUGGACCUUAUAGAGGAUGACAGUAUACACAUGUUGAGUUGGGAUGAUGGAUUACCUGAGCCAAUUGUUCUGCAUGACAGCUAUGAGAUUGAUGGGGUUUCAUUGGUCCCUCAGAUUCCUGCACCAUUCAGUUUGAUCCCGGACGAGGCACCAUUCCAGUUGACUCAUCCUACACCCUUAGUUAUCGGAUGUCAGGAUACUUUUGUCCCAUUCACUUUAUGGCCAGAGGAUGAUGAUUCAGCAGGGAGAGAGAUACAGAUUGUGACUCGCAGUGGGAGGAUAGCUCAGCCACCACCACCAGCAGUCAGACCAUUUGAGGGUACAGCCUCUCAUGAGGAGGUUAGGAAAGAGGAUGAUGAGGUUUUGAGACAGCUACAGAGCACUCAGGCUCGCAUUUCCAUCUGGAGUUUAUUAGCAUCAUCCAGUACUCAUAGAGAUGCUUUGAUUCGAGCCUUGAGUCAGAUCAGAGUAGAGACUACCACCACUCCAGAGGGAUUGAUUCAUAUGAUGACGGCUGGCAGGGCCACUUGCAUUGUAUUUUCAGAUGAUGACUUGCCACCUGAUGGUUUAGACCACGUGCGCCCUCUAUACAUCACAGUUGGAUGUUCAGGCCGUAGAGUCCCGUCUGUCCUACUGGACAACGGCUCAGCCCUGAAUGUUUGCCCUUUAGCCACUGCUAUAGCCCUUGGUUUCGCGCCUUCAGAUUUUGGUCCUUCUACUCAGACAGUCAGAGCGUAUGAUAGCACCAAGAGGGAGGUUAUGGGUACCUUGAUGAUCGAUUUGCAGAUUGGUCCAGCCACAUUUUCCACUUUGUUCCAGGUUUUGAGGAUUCCUGCAUCCUUUAACCUGCUACUAGGCCGACCAUGGAUUCAUGUAGCUGGAGCUAUUCCUUCUUCCCUUCAUCAGAAGGUGAAAUUUAUUCAUGAUGGGCAGGUCAUCACAGUGCGCUCUACCAGGGAUAUAUUUGCAUCUUCUGAGCCAGUACUUCAGAUCAGUCACAGUGAGGACGACCUACUUCUGACUGGGUUUAUUUUUGAUGAGAUACAGACUCUCGAGAUUGAGGAUUUUUGUAGAGACUUUGUGGCUAUGUCGUUUGAUCAGCACAGUAGCACAGUGGUUCUUGAUAUGAUGAAGGGUAUGACCUUUCUACCUGGCAUGGGGUUAGGACGACGUCAGCAGGGACCGAGCGAGUUCAUAGCUGCCAUUGACCAUGAUACGACAUUUGGACUUGGAUUCAUCCCUACUGAGGCCGAUUACCGUCACAUGGCGCGGCUGCGCAAGGAGAGGGUGAGAGCCCGCUUAUCCCACACACCAUUUGAUUAUCCUAUUCGACCCUAUAGGAUGAGUUUGGCUGACUACUUUGUCAGAGGAUCAGAGACUCGACCUCGUCUAGAGGAGAUUGAUAGUGUGGCUCAUACAGAUAGAGAGACCGAUCUUCAGCAUCUAUUUCACCAGCUACAGUUGAGUGAUGGGGCUCCCAACACUUUUUUCCCUAUGACGAUUACUCCCACGUCUCCAGAUCGAGCUAGCAUGUUGUCUCUAUGCUUUCCAGAGGAGAUCACGAGUGAUGGGGUGAUUGUUGAUCCUACUGAAGUGAUUGAUGGAGUUGUUCCCCAUGAUGAGUACCGUGAUGAGAUGGACAUGAUGACCGUGAGCUAGAUUGCCGGCAUUGUUCAGCUUCAGCCUGUUUCAGCAUUUGAUAUGUUUGGGGUGUCUACCAUUGAGGUUUUUGAGGGGACUCAGACUCUUCCUGUUGCAGAGCUUCCAGAUGAUGAUAGUAGUUUGUUUGAGGGCAUUGUUAGCCCAGUUGAGAGAGCGUCCGACCCUGUGGACCCACCUCUUUCUUUUGAUGUUUUAUCGGGAUUUGUCUCCCGCUCUGACGAUGUUUCUGUUGCUUCAUUUAUGGAUUUGAGCAUUUUUGAGUAUUCGCCAGUCUCUUGUGAUAGUAUCUCUACAUCUGCACCUCACUCACCAAUUACACAGAUAUUUGAUAUAGAUGAUGAGAUUGCACAUCCCAGUUCGGAUAGGGACUCUUUUGAUCAUGACUCUAGUCCCAUAGAUGAGAGAGUUUCACCUGCUGCAGGGGACGUUGAGACUGUUGAUUUUGGCACAGAGGAUCAGCCUAGAGAGUUGAAGAUUGGUUCACCCCUAUCUACAGAUGAGAGAGAUAGACUCAUCCAUUUACUCAGGUCAUACUUGGAUGUCUUUGCAUGGUCUUAUGAGGACAUGCCAGGUCUUGAUCCCUCUAUAGUCCAGCACCAUUUACCUACCCUACCGCAUGCUAGACCAAUUAAGCAAAAAUUGAGACGGUUGCAUCCACGUUGCAGUCUACAGGUAAAAGAGGAGAUUCAGAAACAACUCAGUGUUGGGUUCAUAUCAGUAGUUGAGUAUCCAGAGUGGUUGGCUAAUGUCGUCCCUGUUCCUAAAAAGGAUGGCAAAGUUAGGGUUUGUGUUGACUUCAGAGAUCUCAAUAAAGCCAGCCCUAAAGAUGACUUUCCCCUUCCACACAUUGAUUUGUUGGUUGAUGGCACCACAGGCCAUUCGAGGUUGUCUUUCAUGGAUGGGUUUUCAGGGUAUAAUCAGAUUUUGAUGGCUCCAGAGGAUAUGGAGAAGACAGCCUUUAUUACUGAGUGGGGUACCUACUGUUACAGAGUUAUGCCAUUUGGGUUGAAGAACGCAGGAGCCACUUAUCAGAGAGCCGCUACCACUUUGUUUCAUGACAUGAUGCAUAGGGAUGUCGAGGUUUACGUGGAUGAUAUGAUUGUGAAAUCCCGAGGUAGAACAGAUCACCUAGAUGCUUUAGAGAGAUUCUUUGAGAGGAUCCGGAAGUUUAGAUUGAGGUUGAAUCCCAAGAAGUGCACUUUUGGAGUGACUUCUGGGAAGUUAUUGGGACAUAUAGUCAGUGAGCGGGGCAUAGAGGUCGACCCAGAUAAAAUCAAAGUCAUACUUGACAUGCCUGCACCAAAGACUGAGAAAGAGAUUAGAGGUUUUCUGGGCAGAUUACAGUACAUUAGUCGGUUCAUAGCCAGAUUGACAGACAUAUGUGAGCCUAUCUUUCGUCUUUUGAGGAAGAACCAGCCAACAAUUUGGAAUGAUGACUGUCAGUUUGCAUUUGAGAAGAUCAAGGAGUAUUUGCUUUCUCCUCCUAUUUUAGUGCCUCCUACGCCAGGACGUCCACUUCUUUUAUAUUUGUCAGUUUCAGACAUGGCCUUGGGAUGUAUGUUAGCUCAGAUUGAUGACUUAGGAAAGGAGCGAGCUAUUUACUACCUAAGUAAGAGGAUGUUGGAGUAUGAGAUGAAAUAUGUUAUGAUUGAGCACCUAUGCUUAGCACUAGUUUGGGCUACCAGGAGAUUGAGGCAUUACAUGACAGAGUACUCAGUACAUUUGAUAUCCCGCCUGGACCCGUUGAGAUACUUGUUUGAUAGACCUGCAUUGACUGGUAGAUUGAUGAGAUGGCUUGUGCUUUUGACAGAGUUCGAUAUUCAGUAUGUUUCUCAGAAGUCUAUUAAGGGAAGUAUUGUUGCCGAUCACUUAGCCUCACUACCGACAUCUGAGGACAGACCAGUUGAUGAUGAUUUUCCAGAUGAGGAGUUUGUUGCUAUGACCAGCUUAUCGGGAUGGUGCAUGUACUUCGAUGGUGCAGCCAAUCAGUCAGGGUAUGGGAUUGGUGUUCUAUUGGUAUCCCCUCAGGGCGAUCACAUUCCGAGGUCCAUUUGUUUGGCAUUCUCUGAUCGACAUCCUGCCACGAAUAACAUAGUUGAGUAUGAGGCUUGUAUCCUUGGUUUAGAGACUGCAUUGGAGCUUGACAUUAGACAGAUGGAGGUGUUUGGUGACUCCAAUCUCGUACUCAGGCAGAUUCAGGAGGAUUGGAAGACUAGGGACGUGAAGCUUAGGCCAUAUCAUGCUUAUUUAGAGUUGUUGGUUGCGAGAUUUGCCGACUUGAGAUAUGUUCAUCUGCCUAGAGCGCAGAACCGAUUUGCUGACGCCUUAGCUACUUUAGCUUCCUCCGUGGACAUUCCGAUUGAUGUAGUCAUACGUCCAUUACUGAUUGAGUCCAGGUCUGCACCCGCCUAUUGUUGUUUGAUUGGAGAGAUAGAGGACCAGGAUGAUCUACCUUGGUAUCAUGACAUUUAUCAGUUCCUUAGAUCUGGCACAUACCCUGAGGUAGCCACUACCAAGGAUCGGAGAGCACUGAGGCAUUUGGCUACUAGAUUUGUGAUUUGCGGAGAUACCUUAUACAGGCGAUCAGCUGAUGGUAUGCUUCUGUUGUGUUUAGAUCGAGCCUCUGCAGAUCGAGUGAUGAGAGAGGUCCAUUCAAGAGUUUGUGGUCCGCAUAUGGGAGGACACAUGCUAGCCCGUAAGAUUAUGAGGACGGGCUAUUUCUGGUUGACUAUGGAGACAGAUUGUUGUCAGUUUGUCCAGAAAUGCCCAGAGUGUCAGAUUCAUGGUGAUCUCAUACAUGCACCACCAUCAGAGUUACACGCCUUGACCUCUCCAUGGCCAUUCUCAGUAUGGGGUAUUGAUAUUAUUAGGAAGGUUUCACCAAAAUCUUCCAGUGGUCACGAGUUCAUCCUGGUUGCCAUAGAUUAUUUCACCAAGUGGGUGGAGGCUGCAUCAUAUGCGAGGUUGACAUCUGCUAGGGUUGCUAGUUUUAUCAGAUCACACAUCAUUUGCCGCUAUGGGGUUCCUCAUGAGCUGAUUUCAGACAGAGGGGUGCACUUCCGAGCUGAGGUAGACACUUUGUUGCAGGAGUAUGGCAUCCGACAUCAUAGAUCUUCAGCAUAUAGGCCACAGACCAAUGGGGCAGUAGAGGCUACAAACAAGAAUAUUAAGAGGAUUUUGAGGAAGAUGGUUGAGACUUCUCGAGAUUGGUCAGAGAAGCUUCCUUUUGCAUUGUGGGCGUACCGCACCUCUUUUCGCACCUCUACAGGAGCUACGCCUUACUCCCUAGUGUAUGGUAUGGAGGCUGUUUUGCCAGUCGAGACAGAGAUGGGCUCAUUGAGAGUAGCCCUUGAGCAGCAGAUUUCUGAGACAGAGUGGGCUCAGGCUCGAUUUGAUCAGCUUAACCUUUUAGAUGAGAGGAGAUUGAGAGCAGCAGAUCAUGUUCAAGCCUAUCAGAGAAAGAUGGCUCGUGCCUUCAAGAAACGGGUUAAGCCUAGACCAUUGCAAAAAGGGGAUUUAGUUUUGAGGAUUCUCAGAGGUUUGAUUAGAGACCCUAGAGGAAAGUUUAGACCUAGUUGGAGUGGGCCUUAUGUUAUCCGAGAGUUGACUCCAGAAGGGGCUGCAUGGUUGACAGACUUAGAUGGAAACCAAUUUUCAGAGCCCACCAACGUGGAUCAGCUGAAGAAGUAUUAUGUUUGAGACCGUGGUCGCAGGAUGGGUGGCCAUCAUUUCGGUUAGCCUUACACCUUAUCACCUUUAUUGAAAUAUUAAACCAUUGCUAGCCCAUUGAGCCUCACGUGGUAUAUUAUAGCCUUAUUUCUUUCUUAUAGCUUUGAUUACCAUUUCUACACCCGGGUUGGGGCCCUUUGAUGUAUAUGCAUGCUUUGCUAGGAAAGUCUCAUGAGCUUUAGACUUAUAAAUCUAUCUUCUCAUUUUGUUACCAUCCUCUUAUCACCCUAUUUGUUCUAUUUUAUUAUCACCACAUAUUCAUUCUCUUUCUUGUCUUUAUCAUUAUUCGUUUCAUCUUAUCCAUUCUCUUCCUUGGGUCGAUGAUUCUUCACAUCUUAGUGCAAAGAGGGCAGUCAUAUCACUCUAUUCGUUCCAUCAUUUGACAUUGAUUCGGAGAUCUUAGUUUGAGAGUUUGUCUCAUGGGUUAGGGUUCAUGUAUUCAUCAGUGAUUUGAGAGAGUUUAUUCAUUUCUUGUAUCUUUCCCAUUGGAGUUUGACUUAUUGAUGAUUAGAGCAUGCGCAAAAAAAAAAAAAAAAAAAAAAAAAAAAAAAAAAAAAAAACAACAAAAAAAAAAAACAAAAAAAAAACAAAACAAAAAAAAAAGAAAGAAAAAAAAGCGCAAUGACAUGUUUGUGUAUGGCAUCUUGCUCCAUUGGGUACUUAUAUCACCUUUUGAGGUCGGCUUACUAGGUAUAUUUGACAUUGUGGGUUCUUGUGAGAUGUUUAUAUGAGUUUUCACUCCUUGAGCCACUCUUGUUACGCAUUUGGAGUGUCGAGGAUUCAUGUGAGAGUUCUAUGAGAUCCUAUGCUGCUUGGAUCAUGAUUGAUAUAUAUUAGGUAUGAGAGAUGAGUGAUCUUUUUACUAGGGUCUCCGGAUCAUUGUCUUAUACCCAUCAUUCCAUCAUUGGUGAUAUGACUUUCCUUUAUUGUACUAACAUGGGUUGAUCAUCACUCAUUCCACUUUCUCAUUGCUUUCUUUUGCACCCCAUUAUCGCUUUCUAGAUCUUUGUUCCACCUUUUAUUCAUUCCCUACAUAUUGAUACCCAUUACUGAUUUGAUACUUUUUUCACAUCAUUCACAUAUUUCAUUGAUGGUUUGACCAUUCAUCCUUUCUCUCAUUUCGUUAUCGGCAUUCCCUUUGGUUACUUCUAAGUCCAUGACUCAUGAGAUUUUUCUAUGCAUUACAUCUUGUACACGAGGGUACGGGUUUGAUCAUUGGGUAUUUGAGCCUAGUUUCCCUUCAUUUCUUUCACCCCACUACCUUGGCCUACGUUACGUCCCGUGUCUUAAGACCACCCUGAGGCCACGAGAUCAGACGAUAUCUUUGACAGUCUUCACUUGGACAGGUUUUUGGUAGAUUGGUUGAAGUAUGGUCGUUACUAUGUUCUCUUUUAUGGAAGAUACUUUUGGAAGCAUUUGGUCUCUCUCUUGCUUGGCAUAUUGAUGUUUGAUGGAUUUCUGGGUUUGGAGAUAGUUCAUUGAGGAUAUUGGAUUCAUCCUUUGGUUGUGCAUUAGAUAUCCAUACUGGGGCAUAUUCCCCUUUCAUUUGGCUGAGAUGAGCCCCUAGUGGAGCACUUUCUUUGAGCUUGGACAUUUUCAUUGAUCCGAGAUCCCUAGUGAGGUAUGUUGAGACUAUAUCAGUUCUAGUGGAGCAUCGUUGAGCCCCUAGUGGUUCCAUUUGCGGAGUAUUUUUUAGAGAGACUAGUGGAUUAUUACUGAGUUGGAGGCAGUUUUCAGUGCAGUGUAUAGAUCAGGCAUACUAGGGCAUAUUUCCCCAUUUUGAGGUUACCAGAUUCCUAUCAGAUUCAGUCAGGGAUUCAUCAGAGACAUGUUUCUACUUUUGAGAUUACUACAUCCCUCAUCAUUUUGGCUAUUCAUUUGAGAUUAGAUUUAGAGUGUCUCCUUUGAGGCAUUGGUCGAUACUUCACUCUGACUUCUUGGCGGAUUAUUGUUGAGCUGAGGACAGUUGAUUGAUGAUGUUGGAUUCAUCCUUUGGUUGUGCAUUAUAUAUUCACAUUGGGGCAUAUUCCACCUUCCCUCGAGAUUCCUAUUUGUUAUUAUGCGGUAUGACUAUCCUUAUUCAUGGUUAUAGAGAUGUUCGGUUGAUUUUGACAGACUCUUCAUUGUACAUCAGAUAUCCACACUGGGGCAUAUUCCCCUCUCCUUGAUGAGAUUGUGUUUGGGCAGUGGUACGAGGAUGGAUGAUCAUUGUUUGUUGUUUACCUUAUGAUUUUGACACCGGAUAUCCACACUGGGGCAUAUUCCCCUCUCCUUGAUGAGAUUGUGUUUGGGCAGUGGUACGAGGAUGGAUGAUCAUUGUUAGUUUGUUUGCCUCACGACUUCGACAUCCGAUAUCCAUACUGGGGCAUAUUCCCCUCUCCUUGAUGAGAUUGUGUUUGGGCAGUGGUAUGAGGAUGGAUGAUCAUUGUUUGUUGUUUGCCUCACAACUUUGACAUCAGAUCUUAUACUGGGGCAUAUUUCCCCCAUUUUCUUUGAGUAUCCUUGAGAUUGAGACAGUGGCCAGUUCGGUUUUAGAUUGAGUACUAGCCCAGAGCUUCCGACGAUCGACUAUAUCAGGGCUUCCCUACAUGGAUUUGUUGAGAUAGAGACGGAUCGCAUCAGGUUUCACCCGAGGAGUGUGGGUGGAUCCUUUAGCCAGAUGUUCAUGAGACAGAUUUGUUUUCGUCAUUGUUACCUUGCAGAUUGGAUUAUCCAGAUGAGCAGCAUUUUACGCACCUUGAGGUUUACUUUUAGAUGAGUCAUGAUAUACACUCUUUGAGAUUUACCUUUUGAGAUUCAUCGAUAGAGCAGCUUUUUAGACAUAGAGGGUUCCUUCAGUUUAGACUUUUCAGAGGUCUGUCACGAUGCAUCGGUUUCUGACCUAUUGAUUUCAGCGGAUGAUUGAUUUACUGGUUGUUUCAGCAGUGUGAGCACCCUGGAUACUGGGGCAUAUUUCCCUUCUUGGUUUCAGUAGUCCGACCCUUGACAUUUUGAGUAUGUGGCUUUGAGCCAAUUUAUUUCAUGUCCACUUUCGAGUUGGUCUUCUCUAUUAUUCCCUUCUAGGCCCUGAGCCUCAUAGUUUUGAGUUAUUCAUUCCUUCUAGACCCCGAGUCUUAUAGCCUUAAGCAUCCUUUUCCCCUUAGGCCCUGAGCCCGCUAGCCCUGAGCUAUCCUUUUUUUAGGCCCUGAGCCUCGUAGCCAUGAGUUAUCCAUUCCUUCUAGACCCUAAGUCUUAUAGCUCGGAGCUAUCUUUUUUCCUUUAGGCCCUGAGCCCGCUAGCCCUGAGCUAUCAUUUCCUAUAGACCCAGAGUCUUUGCAGCUCUUAGCUGAGCUUUCAUCAUUUGGUCGCCCAUGAGUGGUUUGACCUGGAGUUUGCGUAUCGCAUUCUUCUUCUAGCCGAUCAGUCAUAGAGCCCGGAGCUCAUAGCCCUGAGCUACUCAUCGACCCAGAGUCAUUUUUCAUCUUGACCCAGAGUCAUUCAUAGCACCCCGAGCCCUGAGCUCACGACCCGGAGUCAUUUGAAUCACUCACAUCCCUGAGAUGUUUCGUUUUCAUCAUUCUAGCCACUUGUGAGUGGCCUCGACCCGACACCUUGAGUCGGAAAGUAUCCUGAUCGGCUAUCUAUUUAGAGCCCAGAGCUCUCGACCUAGAGUCAUUCUUAUCUAUUUAGAGCCCAGAGCUCUCGACCCAGAGUCAUUUUCCAUUUUGACCCAGAGUCAUUCUAUCUAUUUAGAGCCCAGAGUUCUCGACCCAGAGUCACUUUCCAUUUCGACCCAGAGUCAUUAUUUCCUAUUUUAGAGCCCAGAGCUCUCGACCCAGAGUCACUUUCCAUUUCGACCCAGAGUCGUUAUUUCCUAUUUUAGAGCCCGGAGCUCUCGACCCAGAGUCACUUUCCAUUUCGACCCAGAGUCAUUAUUUCCUAUUUUAGAGCUUGGAGCUCUCGACCCAGAGUCACUUUCCAUUACGGCCCAGAGUCAUUUCUUUUCCAUUUAGAGCCUAGAGCUCUCGACCUAGAGUCAUUUUCCUUUACGACCCAGAGUCAUUCUUUUCUAUUUUAGAGCCUGGAGCUCUCGACCCAGAGUCAUUUUCCAUUUUGACCCAGAGUCAUUUCUUUUCCAUUUAGAGGCUAGGGCUCUCGACCUAGAGUCGUUUUCCAUUUUGACCCCGAGUCAUUCUUUCCAAUUAGAGCCCUGAGCUCAUGACCCAGAGUCUUUUAUCCUAUUUUAGAUCCAGAGUCGUUCACCUUGUCCGUGAUCCAGAUUCACUCAUCUCAUCCAUGACUAAUCAUCCUUUUCACCACUUUCCAUCUUUGUGCUACUCGUCACAUGCCUUCUCUCUUUAUUGUCAUUUCCCCCCACAUAGAGUUGUCCUAUCCAUGUCGUUGAGACACCAUCUUUUGAUCUUACCCCUUCAUGUGCUAGGACAAAAUCUCUGGUCCUUCUUUAAUUCUUCGAUAUAGUUCACUUCAUUAUGCUCAUUACUCGUAUUUCUACUCACAUUCUCUACACUCGUGAUCUAUACCGAAGAGGGGCAUAUUUGUAGACCCUCAAUUUUGUCCCUUUAACACAUGUCUUUAAGUUCGUCUUCAGUGCUCCACAGUAGUUCCUUGGUGGCCCAGUACUACUCACCACUCACCUUUUUCUGAGUCACCUUGGAGACUUUGGUUGAGGGAUUAUUUGAUCCCUUAUUGUGACCCUUGGCAGCCCUAAUUUAGACUUAGGCUUUUCUUGUUUUUUUAGGAUAGCCUUUAGAUACACUUGGCCCAUUAGGCACCACCCUAGGUCCGCUUAGUCUCAUCAUAGGCCCGUUUAGGUACACUUGGCCCAUUUGGAUAUUUUUAGUGUGACUUAUAUGACUUGCAUGUUUGCAUCGCUCGUAGGGCCCAUUUUUUGUUAAUUUGUUUAUUUUUAUUUUAUUUUAUUUUAUUUUCCUCUUUAUAUUAUUUUCCUUAAUUUAUUUAUUUAUUUAUUAUUUUUACCAUUUUCUAAUUUAUUUACCUAUUUAUCUAUUAAUGCAAUUAUUUAACUUCUAAAAUUUCAUGUUUUUGCAAGGAAACUUACUAUUGAAGUUUAAGGAAGGCGGGACUCUCCUUGGAAGGUUUGGGAGAGGAAUUUGAAAUUAUGAAGAUUGCUUUUGAAUUGGAAGAUUUAAAAAAAAGGAUAAGGAGAAAAGAAGAGAGAAAAUAGGGGAUUUUUUCCUUUUGGGAACGGAUUUAGGAUUUAGGAGGUGAUAUAUAUAUGUGGGAGAGCUUUUUUUAUGAAGGAGAGGAGAUUUUUCUUGGAGAAAAAGCACGCAUUGGAGGCAUUGGAGAAGGAGGGAAGAAAAGCACGCAGCAACGAGAAGAGAGUGACUGCAGCAAAAGACUGUCCAGGUAUGCCCCUUGUUACUCUCAAUGUUCCUAUCCCUAUUCGAUUUCUCCACUUGGUUGUCUUUUCGUUUUAAUAUUUUUUAUAUUGCUGAUUGGUGUGGACGGAAAGGGCUACUAAGAUUGCUGUGUUGAAGUUGAUUCCUGUUAUUCAUUAUGCUCUCAUUCAUAUUCCGUUCUUCUUUAAUCUCUUACUGAUUCCAAGACGCCAUUUAUAUCAGCAUGAACAUCACGAUCACUAACUCAUCUGUUUGCUGAAUCUGAUUGCUUGUGAUUGUUUGCCUAUCUCAUCUGUUCAAAGCCCGUUGAUUUGAAAUAUGAAACGCGGCUCUUCCUAGCUCGUUCUGUUCUUAUUUUAUUUUUAUUUUCAUUUAUUUUUUUCAUUCUUCUCCUCCCGGCUCCAUUCCUUUCUUGUUUCGGCACAUUCCACUGUUUUCUUCUUUUAUUUUCCUUUCUGGUGAUCCGCCAUGGUCAUUCCUUCUGGACAAGUUUAAUACUGCGGAUGUUGGAGCAUGUUUGAAGCGCCACAUUGAUCCACCAUUCUUUAAAGUAGAAUCAGUGUCCUCUGGGAUGGUGAAGUCGCAGGCUUAGAGAUGAAAGAAAAUCCACAAAGAAGGUGGAAGAUGUACCAAACCCUGUUUUAUCACAGUUAACGAUGUUGGGGGAAUGGAAAACGAACAAGAGUUGGAGUGGUUUGAAACCCAGAAGACUGUAAUAAGUGGAGAUCUCGUCAGCUUCGGUCCCGUGUAAUUGUUGAUACGCACAGAUCAUUAAGAAAGACGGAUCACAACCAUUUUCCCUGUAAUCUAGGGUUCCAUUUCCUCAAUUCCUCUAGCAAGUUUUUCUGACGAAUCUCAGUUAUUCAGUGGAGGCAUUCUUCGCAAAUAUGUUUUUCCCUCCGUACCCCGAUCUCUUCCACCAUUUCAAAUUCAGUAAAGUUUUCAAGUUGAAAUCGAUUAUGACUAUCACUAAUUCGGGUUUCAUGAUGAAAAAAAAGAGGAAGUUGAUUACCUUACACACCGGAGCAAGAGAAACAGAUUGUUGAUGAUCUGAUGAAUGAAUCAGAGUCCAGAUUGAAAGAAGGCGCUGUAUUUUUGGUUGUCUCAUUUGCCCUUAAGGAGGUUGGGGAUAAUUUUAUCUUGAUCAAUCUAGCCAAUGUUGAGAGUUUCUUUGGGUCAAUUAUUGUUCUAGAGUUGAAGAGUUAGAAUGUGAAUGGGGUCCUGAUGCUUAAGACCAAUUGCAUAGACUGGUUGGAUCAGAUUAAUGUUGCAUAAAGUAUACACAUGGCUUGGCAGUCACGGACAAUCAGUGCCCAGGUAGCAUAUGGUUCCAUCACGCAAAAUAGUCUCCUUCAACCCGACAUUCAGUUCCGGGUGCCCCUGCUCACUUCAGAAAGAAAUGGCUAAUUCAGUUGUCAAUAACAGUUCUCUUCAUGUUUUGAACAAAUUCCGGACAUCAGAAAUAGGAGGUUGAUGGCUGGUUGAUGGAAGUAAAGAUGGCUAUGAGAUGGAAAAAGAUAUACUACUAGUCCAAAAGGAUGAAUCCACACUUGAAGAUUUGUGUAGCAAUACUACUUUUCACCAAGAAGACAUUAUACUUGCUGAAAUGGGCUCAGAAAAUUGGGGAUUACUGGAUGGUAAUGUGCUGGCACGAGUGUUCCAUUUUCUGAAAACUGAUGUAAAAUCCCCUGCUUUUACUGCUUUGACUUGUAAACAUUGGAGAGUUGCAGUAAGAUCUCUUCAAGGGUGCUUCCAGGCGGGUUGAUUUGUCAUCUGUUGGUUCUCUCUGCACUGACUCUAUGAUUUAGAGCAUGCCACAAAGUGCAUUGUGUUAGUUUCUGGAUUAUCUAUGGUAGAAAGGCUAAUCAGUCACAAGAUAUAGGCAACAAACUUGAUCAGUGGCUCAUGUAUGCAACGUUUAUAUGCUCGUGCUCAAUAAAUAAUAAAGAAGCUAGAAGGUUGGUAGCAAGUGAAGACCUUUGCCAUCUCACUUUUCCCUCAUUAAAAUCUCAUCCACUUUAAGGCAUACAUACGGAAUUUAGAUACAUUGAGUUCAGAUUAUUGUUUGAAGUGUCACAAUGAUAUGAGUUGAGGAGUUCUUUCUACCCAAGCGAUGUUCAUUCGCUCCAAUGGGUUUAAUCUCAUCCUUAGACUUGGUAUCUCUAAGACUUAUCAGUCUCUAUUCCUCCUGUUCUUAUACCAGCACCAAGCAGAUAUUUAGAAUACAAAAGGCAAUCCUCUUCCUAGGCUCGCAAUUCUGGGAUAGAAACGCAUGUUUCCGAAAUGAGAAACUACGGACAGAGUUAGGCAAGGAAGAGGCUUUAGUUAUAGUGACUAUCAGUGGAAAUUGAUGACCUGAACCUUCUGAUCUUUCACGACUGUGAGAAAGGUGACCUGCAGCCUGAAGUUUUCUGGUCAAUUGAACUCAAGCCCCUUGAUCGCCAGAUUGCCGAAGAGCAAAUCCAGUUCAUUUCUUUCCUUUUACUGGUUUUCUGGCUCAUCCCUACCUCAUGAAUACACCCAGUUAGGCAGUAUUACUGAAGUACCAAGGGACCUUAUUGAUCCCUACACUCUGGUCAGCAUCCUUCAACACGAGAAAUGGAAGUAUCAACUAGUUUUCAUAAGAACCAUCAAGCAUUCACUUGACAAGCAAGGAAAGCAUACAUGCAGGGAAUUGAUAAGUAAGCCACUGAUAGCAGAAUAUUGGGACCUCUAGAGUCGGCAGAAGUUGACUAAAGCGAUGAAAAUAAACUAGGAUCUGACGAAUCAGCUGAUUGAAUCAGAGAAGGCUGUGGAUGCAUUUGACAUAUUUUCUGAGAAUUUGAGCCAUCCAGAUCGCGAAGGUCUAGAAUUCCAACUCCUCCGGUUGAAGCUAAGAAACAGUUCUGUUUGCGUAACGGCAAAGGCAUAGAAGCUGAAGUUGGAAGGAUAUAUGUUUUGCAUGGGAAAGACUGCUAAUGAUCUAACAUAUCAAGUCUCAAAUAGAUACGAUUUCAGCAGUUUGAGGGAGCUUGACAGUAUUGGACAUAAUGAAUUGAAGCCUUUUCAAAAUCAGCAGUGGACGUAUUCUGUUCUAAAACACUUGAAGUUGGAGCACACUGAAGCAGUUUUGUAUUCUGAAAUUAGUACCCGAUUUUCUGGUGAUUCAAGUUCUUUAUUUGACUUCUCCUUUAUAGAGAAAACUCCUAGUGGCAUUGACCAGCCAGGAACUCACCAUAUGCAACAUCAGCAAGCUCAACAGCUCAUGAUUGUUCUACCAAAUUGUUGGAAAAGGGGUCCAUUUCGACAAGUGGCACAGUUUUCAUUAGUGCAUUAUUGAGGGAUGGAUAAAGAUGAUCAGCCUAAGGCCAAGCCAGAUGAUUGGGAAGAUGCAGCUGACUUCUCUACACCGAAAUGGGGAAGCUCUCACAACUAAAGCAACAAUUUUCCUAUGCAACGCCCCACUUCAAGACAUUAUUUUCAGAUUCAUGGAGAGGAAAGAUGAGGACUCGUGGCAAUGGUCUGAAUUUCCCAGAUUUGGAUGGAACGAAGCUCGCGAGGUGACAUCAGGGAAAUCUUCAAUUUGCCCUUGAUGGACAAACAGCAAACACAUACAGACUUUGUUUGUUUGUCCAGCUAAGAGACCAAUUGAUGCAGAAUUCUGGAACUGUUAUGGAAUUAGUAGAGCUUUUAAUGGGGAUACAGAUCUCCUUCCCGUUUCUUUUAAGGGAGUCUUUGUCAAACAGGACAAUUCUAACUCACCUUGAGGCAUGCUUCAAUACAGAGAAUUUCGAAAGACAGAAGAAUAAACUACAGGAAAGGUUCAAUUGUCCAGGCACUAAAGUUGUGAGAGAUGGCCAAAGUAUUCGGUUAUACUACCAGUGAGUCUAUUGCUAUGCGGAUCCAAGGAAGUCGGGUAAAGGCUAAUAAGGUUAAUCAGUUCUGAGAAAGAAGAAAUUGAACUAGACAAAUGAUUGAUGCUUAGAUCCAGAUCAGAAAGGCUUUGUAGCAUGCCGAUUGAAACGAGCGGUGGGAUCUAGGUUGAUUUAGAGAUUGAAGCAGAAUGGUCCAUCAAACACCUUUUUUUUUAAUAACUAGCAUAUUGCAAAGCUAUCAACAAGGGUCUUUUCAUGCAAUUAUCAACAGCUGAAUCAUUAGCACCUUCAUGCUUCCAAACUCUACUUCUAGCAUGGCCAUCUUGACGCACACCUCUUCCUCCAUUUUCUUCAUUGAGAAUUUACAGUUUUGAAUUGAUCUUUCAAACCCUUUUUCAACUGAAUAAACUUAGCUUUGAAGAUUCAUCAAAAUAACUUUAGUUUUCUUUAAAAGUUCCUUAGGAGUUUCUAGGUUUAAAAUCCAGAUUUCAACAAAUCUUUUGCUGUCAUUUUCCUUCCGGCAUGCGUUUUCACUAUUUUAUUUGAUUUUUAGCUAUUUUAAUGAUUUUCUCGAUUUUCAACAAGCAUGAAUAAACUUCAUAAUUCCAAAUCAUGGAAUUUAUGGAAUCAACUCAUGCGAAAUUAAUUAGGGCUUUGGUGGGGGCCCGACAUUCAUAACACUCACUUUAAUACUGUUUGCUUGAUAUGAUGAUUUUUGAUUAUUCUUGAUGAAAUACUUGAAUUCACUUUAUAUCUAUUGUUGAGAUACCCUUGUUCCCAUAGACGCGUGGAUGCCCGCUAUCCAGGUACACUCUUCCUGCCCUCAAACUCUAAAAUUCUAUGAAUGUGUAUGUUAUCAUGAGCCAUGUCCAUGUUUGAUGCCAUAAUUGAUUGUCUUGAUGCUUGUUUGAUCAUGUUUCAUAAAAAUACAUAUUAUGCGUCGUAUUUUCAAACUAACCUUUGAUGUCUUGUGAUAGCGCUUAAGAAGCAGUCUAGGUAUGUACCCUAAAUCUUCUUCAUGUUUGUGAUUGGUUUUCCUGCUAAGCAUGCUUUUUUUCGAAAUCACCUAGCCUACUUAGGUAUCCAUGAUUAAUCGGUUAAUUGCUAUAUUUCCCUCAACUUAGUCAGUAGAGACCUCUUUAGGGCUUAGAGGGGUGCUACCUCCUAGGGGUACCUUCCCAAUAAGUAACCUGAUCCCCGAACUUAGACUCAGGUUUCCC